rnacentral:lncRNA from 1 species
GUUAGACUUACACAAAAAUAUUCAGAAAAGAAGACUUUCUUACUUUUUAUUAUUGCUUAUUUAAUGCAUGUAGAAGUCUCAUGCAUUUAUAGGCAUACGUACAAUAAAGAAACUGCUAGAACAGACUAACUGCAACUGAUAACCACACUAACAAUCUUAACUACUUUGAUAACUACUCUAACAUUCCCCUUGCUUAUUUGUUUUUGUAUUACAAAGAUCUUUCGAUGGCAGCACUCGAAGAGCACGUCUGAAGGAAGAAAAUUACUUAGGCGUGAUUGGUUUUGUAAGGACAUCUGCAAUUUGUUGAGCAGAGGGAACAAAAUUGACUUGUAAACAACCAGCAAGUAUUUUUUCAGGAACAAAAUGAUGGUCUAUUUCAACGUGUUUCAUUUUAGUAUGAUGAGUAGGAUUUUCAGCAACAGAUACUGUAGAAGAGUUGUCGCACCAGAUGGUUGGUAUCUUAGACAUUGACAUUCCAACUUCAUUUAGCAACUGUUGAAUAGAUAGGAGUUCAGACACGCAGUUAGCCAAGCUGCGAUAUUCUGCUUCAGCAGAGGAUCGAGAGACUACAGACUGUUUCUUUGAACACCAAGCCACCGGAUUUGAUCCAAGAUAUACCACAUAUCCAGAAGUGGAACGCCGAUCUUCAAUGGAAGAAGCCCAGUCAGCAUCCGAAUAUCCUACCAGUUCUAGUUGUCCUGCUGUAAGACAUAAACCAUGGUCCAUGGUGCCAGCUAAAUAUCUUAAUACCCGUUUGACUGCUCUCCAGUGAGUGUCACCUGGUGCACUCAUGUAUUGGCUAAGUUUAUUGGUGCAGAACGACAAGUCAGGCCGUGUAAUACAAACAUAUUGAAGCAUGCCCACAACACUUCUAUAUAAGUGCACAUCAGAAAAUGGAGGACUGCCAUCAGAAGCUACUAGCUUAGGCGUGCUUACCAUCGGAGUUGGUGUGGAUGCUGCUCCAAGCAUUCCAGUCUUCUCAAGUAGUUCAGUAACAUAUUUCUUUUGACUGAGCAUCAGCCCCUGUGAAGUGCGUCGAACAUCAAUGCCCAAAAAAAAACUGAGUGCUCCCAUGUCCUUGAGAGCAAAUUUGCUGUGAAGACGCUGCACAACAUCUUCAAUGUCUUGAUCAUGACUUCCAGUAAGAACAAUAUCAUCAACAUAUACCAUGAGUAGAAGACACUUCCCAUCAAACACACGAAUGAACAAGGAGGAAUCAGCUUUAGAUGCUUGAAAAUCGAGUUGAGUCACGAGAUACUCCUUAAGAGUAUGAAACCAGGCACGAGGAGCUUGUCUCAAACCAUACAGUGCUUUAUUUAGUUUGCACACCAGUUUCUGACCAGUGACACUUGGGACUUCAAAGCCAGGAGGUUGGUCCAUGUAUAUUUCUUCAGUAAGCUUACCAUUGAGGAAAGCAUUGUUGAUGUCGACUUGGCGAAGAGACCACCCCUGCAUAAUUGCAAGUGAAAGAACAGUGCGGAUGGUGGAGGCUCGAACCACUGGACUAUACGUAUUAUGAAAAUCAAACCCAGCAUGUUGAGAAAAACCUUUUGCAACUAACCGAACCUUGUAUCUGUCAAUGGAGCCAUCAGACUUUCUUUUUACCUUAAACAACCAUUUGCACCCUACUGCCCUCCGAUUCUCUGGAAGGGAGCACAAAGUCCAGGUAUUAUUUCGUGCCAAGGCUUGGAGCUCACUAUAAACUGCUUCCUGCCAACACUCAAACAUCAUUGCCUCAUGAAUAUUGGAAGGAUCAUCUUUUGGGGAAGAAGCUGCUGUACUAAGAUACACCUUUGGCUUAAAAACUCCAGCCUUACUUCUAGUAAUCAUGUGAUGAUUGUUGAGUGUCAAGGGUUGGAGGGUUUGCUCCUGUUGUUGAAGAGAAGUCGACACAGGUGCGGAUUGUGGGGAUGGAACUGUUUGUUGAGAAAAAGGUGGUAAAGGUGAUAAAGUAGGUGUAUUAUGUAUUACAUUAUGGGAAGCAGAUUGUGAGUGAGACAUUGAAUGUGAUGGAAAAGGUGUAGUGGAGGUAGGUGUUGAAUGUGAUGGGAUAGGUGUAGUGGAGGUAGGUGGCGUAUUUGGUGGAGGUGUAGGCAAAGUGCUAGAACACGAAACAUGAGGUGAAGGAACAACUAAAAGUUUAGCACUAACUUGUGGACUAGAAAUAGGUGAUGUGACUGGUGAAUAAUGACUUAUGUAUGGAAAAGUAGUUUCAUUAAAGGUGACAUGACGGGUGACAUAGACUUUGCCAUUGGGGUCUUUACAUUUAUAACCUUUAUGUACUGAGGAGUAACCUAGAAAAACACAGGGUAUUGAACGAAAUUGCAGCUUUGUUUUUGUGAACGGCCUAAGAUUUGGAAAACACAAGCAGCCAAAAGUUCGAAGAAAAGAAUAAUCAGGUUUCGUUUUAAACAAUUGCUCAUAUGGGGAUAUAUUACCUAGAGGUUGAGAUGGUAAUCGGUUAACCAGAAACACAGCACUACAGAAGGCUUCAUUCCAAAAACUUAAUGGCAUGGUGGCAUGAGCUAACAUAGACAAGCCUGUUUCAACCACCUGACGAUGCUUGCGUUCAACAAGUCCAUUUUGAGCAGACGUGUAUGGACAGGUGAAGCGAUGCAGUAUUCCUUGCUGAGCUAAAUAAUUUUUUAACACUUGAAACUCCCCUCCUCCAUCUGUUUGCAGAACUUUAAGUUUUGCACCCAACACUCUCUCAGCUUGGCGAUGGAACUGUGGAAAAAUACCAGCAACAUCAGAUUUGUUCUUCAAAAAAUAGAGCCAUGUAUAGCGCGAGUAAGCGUCAGUAAAUGCAACAUAAUAGCGAAACCCAUUAGACACAACCGGAGCGGGCCCCCAAACAUCGGCAACAACCAAUUGUAGAGGAGCAGUAUAAACCGUGCUGGACUUAACAAACCGAAGUUUACGCUCCUUACCCAGAUGGCAAGCAAUACAAUUGACCAUUUUAUUAAUAUCAGUAGCCUGUAUAUUACAACUUGCAAGUGCCUUAGAAAGAACAGCAUGACAUGGAUGUCCUAGUCUAGAGUGCCAAAUACUAAGAGGAAGCUUCAUAGUAGUUGUAAAACAUUGAGUAGAUGUGGAGGAUACAGGAGUUGCUGUAGACUUGUUAAGAUGAAGUCGAUAUAACCCCUGAUGCUCUGAGCCUCGAAGAAGAACUUCUCUAGUCUGUAAAUCACGCACCUGACACUGAGUAGGGAAAAACUCAAACAUUACUUGAUUAUCUUUGGCAAACUUGGAUACUGACAAAAGAUUCUUAGUAAUUCCAGGAACUAGCAACAAAAACCUCAUGAACAGUGGUCUAGAUCGAGUAAGUAAGGAUGAUUGUCCAGUAGACAUAACAGGGAGAGCUGCACCAUUGCCUACAAAUACCUUUACCUGGCCCUUUAUAUGCACCACCGUCUCCAAUAGAAGUAACCGAAUUUGUGAGAUGAUGGGUUGCACCAGAAUCUGGAUACCAAGAGUUAUCAGCAACUGUUUCUGGAGUUGCCAAAUAUGCUUGAGACUGUGUUGCACCAGGGACUGGCGUGAAACCUUGUGUACUCCAUUGUGCACUUGGCGAGAAGGGAGGCCAUGUUGUCACAGAAGGACCGGCCAUGCACAUAUUGACUUGUGGGGGAGGCCUGUAAUUAUUGCUCUUGUAAGUGGAAUCAAACCGAUGAUAACACCGAUCAACAAGAUGACCAGGUUUUCCACAUAAUUGACACUGAAUUUUUGAGUUGGAAUAACGUCCUCGACCACGCCCCCGAGUUGCAUUUGUUGGUCGAUAAGCAGGCAUAGAACCAUUAGAACCAACAGUUUCAGAAGGUUGGUGAGACACAAGAUUCGCAGAGCCAGAGAUAUCACUACUAACCACCUGUUGUCGAGUCUCAGCAUCAAGAAGCAUUGACACCACUCCUUGUACUGUGUAGUGCACUUGACUGGCUGUAACAAUAGAGAUAACAGAUUCGUAUUCGGGAGGAAGACCAUUAAGAAUUGCUGUCACAUGCUCACGCUCACUAAUGACUUCACCACAACUAGCAAGAUUAUCACAACAACUUUUAAUUUUCAUCAAAAAUUCUUUCAUGUUCAAAUCUCCUUUUCGUUGAGAAUGCAAGUUUCGACGAUAAAACAUCAGUUUAGAGGUGGUUUUACUGCCAAACAAAGUAACUACAGCAUUCCAGAUUUUGGCACUGGUGUCCAUACCUAUCAAAUGCGGAAGAACUGCCUGACUAAUGGAAGACAAUAACCACGACGCAAGGGCACUGUCCUGUUGCUCAAAACAUUCAAAUUCUGGAUUUUCAUGUUGACCGCCACUUUCAUCAGAAAUAAACUGUGGAGGAAGAGUUUGUUGAAUAUCCAGAAAACGCUGAAGCUUGUGCGCUUUUACCGCCAAGAGGACCUGCUGUUUCCAUAACAAAAACGUAUCAUCAUCAAGAAGAACGCUAAUCUUCUUUGUAGAGAAGAACCUGCUGUCAAGCAAUCCAUCAGAAGAGCUAGCAGCCAUAUCAACCAAGAAAAUCUGCACAGCGGUUAACAAGAAAGAAACGCCAGGAAAGAACUUACAACUGAUACCAUGUUAGACUUACACAAAAAUAUUCAGAAAAGAAGACUUUCUUACUUUUUAUUAUUGCUUAUUUCAUGCAUGUAGAAGUCUCAUGCAUUUAUAGGCAUACGUACAAUAAAGAAACUGCUAGAACAGACUAACUGCAACUGAUAACCACACUAACAGUCUUAACUACUUUGAUAACUACUCUAACAAUUGCGCCACUUAGGGAUGGUGAGCAACCUAUAAACUCUGAGACAACAAGCAUGCUCGUACGAGGAGAUUCAGGGGCGAUUUGCAAAGCUUCAUCCAUUCUGGAAGUCCCUUGUCUACAGACAAUGUACUUGUAUGGAACUAGGUUCAUUCCAUCCCUCACUGCAUUCACAAUGCAACAUUCUGCGCAAGCAUAAUAAGCAGCCUUCUCGUAGAAAGGGACACAACGAUCAAUCAGGACAACUGGUUCAUAUCCUGGAAAACCAAAAACAUCAUUUAUCCGUUCAGUAGUCUCAUAUAUUUCCCUUUUUGCUUCCUGAACAUCUUUCCCGGUGCUUCUUGCAGGAUUUACGAUUUGAAUAAGGUUUGAAUAAGGACUACUUUGCCUUGCAGCUCUGGAUGUUGUUGUAAAAGUUGUUCCAUAGCUAAUACUUUUAGACUAAUGCCUUUAAAUAUAUCCAUGUCAUUAACACCAAUGAUAAUCUUUUUGUCAUUGAACUUCGCAACAAUUUCUUUGACCUUAGUAGAAGAAGAUGGGUGAUUUAGUGAAGAUUGGAGUUGGCCCAUGUGAAUCCCAACAGGCAAAAUUUUCAUGUAGACUGUGCGACCAAAAUAAUCAAGUCCAAUGUGUCCUCUCUUGGAUUCAUGGUCAAGGCCAAGAAUUCUGCUGCAACAUGUAAGAAAGUGGCGAGCAUAAUCAAAUGUAUGAAAACCAAUCAAGUCUGCAUUAAGUAGUGCUUUUAAAAUUUCCUCCCUGACUGGCAGUGUCCGGUAUAUUUCUGAGGAAGGAAAUGGACUGUGAAGGAACAAUCCAAGCUUAACUCGAUGGAAAUGUUUCCUCAAAAAUGUUGGGAGAGCCAUAAGGUGAUAAUCAUGAACCCAUACAUAAUCCUUCUCUGGAUUUGUUACCUCUAUGAUCUUAUCUGCAAAUAUCUUAUUAGCAGAAAGAUAAGCUUGCCAAUGCAACCUGUCAAAACGAUUGCUAUAGUCUGCGCACAUGGGUAGCAUGUAAUGGAAAAGGGGCCAUAAAUAUUGUUUACAAAACCCAUGGUAGAACUUUUUCUGAAGGUCGGGAGGAAGAAAUGUGGGCACGCAAUUAAAUUCCUCUAACAAUGUCUUAGAAACUUCAUCUUGUUCCUUUGAAUCCACAUCAACCUUCAAGGACCCCACAUAGACAACAAUAGUAUCAGAUGAAAAUCCAUCCUUCAUUUGCAACAGAAGAGAGUCCUCGUCAAAACUGAACAACCAUUCCCCGGAUUUUAUGUCUUUUUGAGCUUGCAAAGGAAGAAAAUUUGCCACAAUAAUUGUCUUUUCACAACAUUCAGAAGAAAGAGAAUCAAAAUCUCCAUCAUCUGUUAUGCCACCAUCAACAGGAACAGUCAUAACCCGAGAAAUUCUUUCAGGAGUUUGAGGGGAAUUAAACAUGUCCCCCGAUGCUAAGUCCAUCAAGCUUAUGUAGGAACUUGAUGCCAUCACUCCCUCAACACCUUAUCUAUCACUGUUGAUGACUGAUGAACUAAAAUCCGUCAUAAGAAAAAAAAGGGAGAUUUUUAUUAGUAUGAUGAAUUAUAAGGAACCAAAUGCUUGCAAGAAAGUGGAAAAGAACACUCAUCACUUUAUGCAAUAUAAGGCAGCUCAUUAAAAUUGAAAUUAAGGAAGUCCAAAAAGUAUUGAGGAUGCCGAUGAUAAUUGUCAUAGCUACGUAUUCAAAUCUUAGCGUUCAGUUUAAUGUGGUCAACAAGAUCGACUUUUGGACUUAUUAAGCAUAGUCCAUCAUGUUUCAGUCUAAAUCAGUUACAAGAGUUUGCUAAACAUAUGAUUAAGAUGUUAUAUACAUUUCACAGAGUAACAUUAACUUCUGUGGUUCUAGCUGUUACACAUCCCCAAUGGGCAAGUAAGCAGAAGCAAAGUAUGCCGAUUAUAAGUGUCUUAAAAGCCAGACUGGACACUGGUUAGACCAGGAACCAACACUAGGCCAGAUGACAUAAUUACUCAAGACAAGCAUGGUAAACUUUAAACCACACUUGAAAAUCAAAUUUAAGAAAAGAAAGAGUGUAAACAAUUAGAUGAAAUAAGAACUAAAAGAAACCAGCAAGAAAUCUAAAACAUACCAUAAGACGGUAAGCCUACAAGCAGUUUUAAUAUACUAGCAUGCAUCAAAGAGAUAUAAAAUAAAUUUAACUGCAGAAUCCCUAAAAUCAGCAUCAUUUUGAAAGGAGCUACAAUAAGGACCAAGCAUGAAAUUUAUGUCAAUGGAGCAUUUUCUAUGCCUAAGAUCAAAAUAGUAUUCUCUGAACUUCUUCCUAUGUCACAAGAGCAUUUAAAAAUAGUCUUAUCUCUAAUAGCAAGUGAACUAUAAAGAUCAAAAUUCAUUCUUUAAUAUCAAAAAGCAAAUAAUUAACGAGCAGCUUUUCAACAUAUACUCGAAACAAAAUUGUUUCUAUAUUCAUAUUAAAUAUAACGAUCAAAAUCUCAUCAAUACUUCCCCAUCAAAUAAGCACAUUGUACAUACCUCAAACUACAACAAAAGGAAAUAUGGGUAUCAUUAAGUAUUGUUAUCCCACAUCUUUUAUAUAUUGGAUUUUUUUAUCCCACAUCUUUUAUAUAUUAGAUUUUUUUAUUUGUAUUAAAAUUGGACACUUCUAUUUAUUACCACCAAUUAUUUUUGAGUUGGAUGCUUUAACAUGGUAUCAGAGCUCACAAGACUUAUAUGUGGAUAACUUCAUCUAGAAUUGUUAACUUCACUUAGGGUGAGGCAAGAAAAACAUAAAAAAAAAUAAUUCUAUGAUACUAUUCAAAGUAUUCAACUUAAAAGCAACUAAUUAUUAAUGGAUGGCUCAAAGUUUCAUAUAAGACCUUAGGUGUGUGUAUGGUAUAAAUCCAAAAUUCUAUUAUGUUGUUAUCCUUUCUAACCACAUAUAAGGUUGGUGUUUGUCCAAGUUAAACCUUGUGAGCUACACUAGAGAGAGUGUGUUAAGCAAUGUUAUCCCCAUUUUUGUUAAUUAUUUGGUUUCCUAUGGAAGUUGAGGCCAUCCAUUUAUCACAACUAGUUUGAAGUUGGAUGCUUAAACAUAUAUCUACAAGAACAAAAUGAGAAGUUUGAAAAUGAAAAGUGAAUGAAUUGAAGUCAUCCAAAUGAAAUUACAGCAUUAUUCCACCAAAUAAUAGGGAUAUGCAUUUUCUAAUGCAAUAAAAUUGUAAGGAAAUAAAAUAAGACUAAGAAAUUAGUGGUUUACAUCAUAUUGAUGUAAAUUGACCACACGAAAAUACAAUGAAGCGAUUUAAAAAAUAUCUAAUUGAUAAGCAUCACUAAAGCAAACUACAGACACCUCUUCAAAAGUUGGACCAACAGUUUUAAUUGAAACAACCAAUUUUAUUUUGGAUUGAUAAAAUGGGACAUCUAAUUCAUAAAAUAAGAAAUACAUGCAUUCGAGUUAUGAUCUACCCACAAAAAAAAUGAGAGGAAAUGAACACCUAGAAAGCAAAGUAUAAAAUGAAAAUGGAAAAUAUCACGUAUAAGAGGAAAAUGCAUACCGAUAAGAAAAUUGACAUACCUAAUUUUGUUCGCCUCCCUAGCCUUCAACAAAAUAUGACCAUUGAUGUAUGCCUUACAUAGCCUUUUAUAUGCAAGUUGCACUCUACUUGAUUUAUUCAAAUUAAUUGUCCAGAUAGACUUAUUAAGAGAAUUUAAUGAAAUAAAUAUUAUUUUAACCCAUUAAGGAACCUAAUUAAUUUCUUCUGAGAAAUGUACAAAAAAACGUGUUUGUUUAACUUGUUUGAUUCCAGCAAGAUCAUUAAGUCACCUAACUAUUUUUCGAGUAUGAACAAAACAAAUAAACGAUAAAUGAAACAAAUUAUAAAAAAUUUACCAUAUUAUUUAUUUCAUCCUUAUCUAAAUUAAUGGCAUCUUUUGCAAUGAAAUCGAAACCUUCUCAAACAAAACCAUAGUAGUGAAAAAUGAAAGAAUGCAAUUACUAUAUUCCUUCUUAUAAAAGUUUCACGACAUUGUUAAGCAAGCAUUGACUCAUAAUUUAUCAACUUAUCUGUCAAAUUAUUAUAUAAAAAAUGAAAUGUCUAAAUAAAAAGGCAAAUGACAGUAGAAAAGGAGAGUAAAUGACUAUUCUUAGGUCAUCUUAUCUUUAAGAAAAAUAUAAAAAAAAAAAUUAGGGCUACGGUGCCAUGCCAAAGUAUUCAACUUAAAAGCAAUUAAUUAUUAAUGGAGGGCUCAAGUUUCAUAUAAGAUCAUAAAUGCAUGUAUGGUAUAAAUCCAAAAUUCUAUUAUGUUGUUAUCCUACUUAAUCUCAUAUGAGGUUGACAACCCUUACGAAGUUUGUCCAAGUUAAAUAUUGUGAGCUACACUAGAGGGAGAGUGUUAAGUAAUGUUAUCCCCAUUUUCGUUAAGCAUUUGGUUUCCCAUGGUCUUAUAUUAAAGUCGAGGCCUUUCAUUUAUUACCAACUAGUUUGAAGUUAGAUGCUUAAACAUAUAUCUACAAGUAAAAAAUGAGAAGUUUGAGGAUGAGAAGUGAAUGAAUUAAAGUCAUCCAAAUGAAAUUACACCAUUAUUCCACCAAAUAAUAGGGAUGUGUAUUUUCUAACGCCAAUAAAGUUGUACGGAAGUAAAAUAAGACUAAGAAAUGAGUGGUUUACAUCAUAUUGAUGGAAAUUGACCACAUGAGAAUACUAUGAAGCAAUUUAAAAAAUACCAAAUGGGUAAGCAUCACUCAAGCAUACUACAGACAGCUCUUCAAAAAUUAGGCCACAAGUUCUAAUUGAGACAACUAAUUUUAUUUUGGACUGAAAAAUUGGGAUAUCUAACUCAUAAAAUAAGAAAUUUGAGUUAUGAUUUACCCACAAAAAAAGAAAAGGAAAUGAACACCUAGAAAGCAAAGUAUAAAAUAAAAAUGGAAAAUAUCACAUAUAGGAGGAAAAAGCAUACUGAUAAGAAAAUUGACAUACCUAAUUUUAUUCGCCUCUGAGCACUCAACAAAAUCAGACCAUUAUGUAUGUCUUAUAUAGCCUUUUAUAUGCAAGAUGCACUCUGUUUGAUUUCUUCAAACUAAUUGUUUAAAUAGACUUAUUAAGAGAAUUUAAUGAAAUAAAUAUUAUUCUAACCCAUUAGGGAACUAAUUAAUUUCUUCUGAGAAAUGUACAAAAAACGUGUUUGUUUAACUUGUUUGAUUCCAGCAAGAUCAUUAAGUCACUUAACUAUUUUUCGAAUAUGGACAAGACGAAUAAACGAUAAAUGAAACAAAUUAUAAAAAAUUUACCAUAAUAUUUAUUUUAUCCUUAUCUAAAUUAAUGGCAUCUUUUGCAAUAAAAUCGAAACCUUCUCAAAUAAAACCUAAAUGAAAUGUGUAAAUAAAAAGGUAAAUAACCAGAUGAGUAUUCAUGGGAUCACCUUAUCUUUAAGAAAUAAUGCUCCACUAAUUUGAAAAACUCUAUAGGUGUGCCUAGUAUCAUUUUAACCUGGUUCAGUAAAACAUUUUCUUGGGGCUUGCAUUUAAAAUCGCUGGUUUAUAAAAUUGUUUAUUUUCACCUGCAAGCGAUCACAUAUUAUCAGUUAUUAAUAAACUUUUGUUGAUUGAUUUUCAUGAAUUGUAUUACAAUUGUUAUAAGCAAAUUCUGUCCAAUCCUUAUCAAUAGUUUUCUUAAAUUGAGAAGCCAAGAUGAUAGUUGCGGACUUAUUCCAGAGAAAGAAGCAUAAAUCCAAAGUUAAACCUUACCUUUCUAAGUCCUUUCCCUCGUACCAAUUCUAACGUAAUUUAUCAAAAAAUUAGUAACUUGUUAAAGUUGGAAAAGCUCAUCAUAAUUUUUUUUUUUUAAAAUAAGCUCACAGAACCCCUUUUUGCCGUUGUGUCACUUCAUAUCUAUCUCUAUACUGUCUUCUGUGACAACCAAUUCCCCCGUAAACAUACACAAAAUAGGAUAGACAGUAAAAAGAAAGUAGCAAGAAUCGAAAGGGGAGUAUGGGAGGUUGGAGCGUACAUUCUGUGUCGACUCCUCUCAGUUUGAGUUUAGGCUCACACUCAUUGCCCAAGCCUGCUUAUUAUUGUUGUUUCAAUUAUGGUUUUCCAGUAAAAUCCAGGAAAGCUCCUUUUUGUGCUAUUUCGAUUCGUUGCUGUGCAUCUGCAUCUAAAUCCUACAACGUUAAUAAAAUCUUGCAAGCUGAGCCUGAGAUUGAUGAUUUCGUGGUGGUCAAUUUUUAUCGCUUUGUCUUCAUCAAAGACCCUCAACACGAAAUUGCUAAGCACCUCACUUUCUUAAAGGUUUCGCUUGUCUUUGUUUUCCUCUCAGUUUAACUCCUUUCUUCUGCUCUACCAGGCGUUUCAUUUAUUUAUUUUUUCAAUUUUAUUUUCAGGGUUUGGACAUACAUGGCCGAAUCUAUAUAAACGAACAAGGGAUUAAUGCACAGGUAUUUUGUCAGUCGCCCCUUGCUUUUUUUAUUAAUUAAUAAUUGAACAAAUAGUUACAUUCCAUUAUUCAAGGCGAUUUGAACACUGUCAUACUGUCAUAUGCUACCACUCCAUAAUUUGGUGAUGAAUAGACAUUGUUUUUCUGCUCAUUUGAUUUUUCAUGCUCGACUAAACAAAAGGGUGUUUUUAUCCCUUUUUUUUUGCUAAAUAAAAUAAAAUAUUAGGUUGCAAAUGCUAGUGCUUGCUUCAUUUUUGACCUUGUACGGUUAUUUUCAAAUUUAAACUACAGAAAUUUUAGUAAUUGAAAAUGCAUAUAGUUCUCAUAUGCUUUUCCAUGUAUGUACAGGUAUAUUUUUCCUAUCUUCAUUCAGCACUCUCUUGGUGCUUAGUUCCUUCCAGCAUAUUGAUUAAUUAUAGAAGAUAGUUUGGUCUUUUUUGUUCUCUUCUUUCCCUUCUAUUCUUCCUUUCCUUUUAAAGUACUCAAGUAGCAUGUUGUUUUGGAAAAACAAGGGCAGAGUAUUUCUUGAAUGCAAGUAAAUGAUUGAUAUUGAUGGCAGUGCUAGAAAGUUGCAUAGCUUGGUUUGCAGUGCAUAAUGCCUAUCAGAUUCCUUGGAGGAGUAGUUCAUGUUUUGCCACUAAUAAUUUCUUCUGUACCCCUUCAUUUUGCAGUAUAGUGGGCCCUCAAAACAUUCUUUUGCAUAUGUUGAAUGGUUAAAAGAAGAUGACAGAUUUUCAGAUAUACUAGUUCAGACAUCUCCUGCGUUUAACAGGCAUGCCUUUCCCAAACUGAAGCUGCGAUAUAAGCCUUCACUUGUACAAGUAAGCAAUAUGUUUAUGUGUCUGCCUGUCUGUCUUUGCAUAUUUGUUUAAUUGUAUCCAAAUUUGAUUUAUUCCUUUUCUCUUUUGCUGCUUUUUGGUCUUCAUAAUUGUAUUGUGUUCUUUUUUCUGUAAUGCAGUAUACACAUUUGCCUUUAGUUAAUUACUCUUGUAAAAGGCUUACAUAUUAGGGGGAGAACUAUGCUCCUCAUAGCCCAAGAAAUAAUAGUUUGUCUUAUCACCAAAAAUAUGAUAAAGAAAUAGUAAAUAAAACCCCUAUAAUAGUCUCCACAUAAUCAUUGGAAGCCAUGAUAAAGCCUAAACUAAACAGAAAUUAAAGUUUGGUUUUCUAGACUUGUGACAAAAACAGGCAUGCUAAAAGUUCUUGGGUGGUGCCCUUGAUUGUAUCAUCCUUUUUCAUUAAGCAUGAUAGUGCUUGAAACAGUCCCAUUGGCGAGAACAAGUUUGAUAUAUUAGAUGGAAAUUUGGCAUCUUAUGAGCAGAGGUGCUUGCAAGAGUACUUAUAGAAAUAAAGUGAAGAAAAUGAAAGAAAAAAAGAACUCAUGGCCAAUUGUCAACAAAACCUCCAAGUUUGAAAAAAAAACCUCACGUGAUUGAGUUAAUGAAGUAAACCAUGUAUCACAUUCAUGUUUUUGGUUGAUAGAAAAUAAUCUCUUUCCACAAACAUAGAAUUUCUUGAUGGAAUGUUUAACUGCUUUAAAUUCAAUACUAUUACACUCCCACCGGUAUUAGAUCCUAAUGAAAGAAGCAUAUUAAUUGUAACUUCAUAAUUCAUAAAAUAGAAAGAUGAAAUUAGGUGGAAAUUACAGGAUGAAAGGUACAAGAUUCAAAGCUAAAAACACCCUCACCUUGUGUCUCCAACAUGUAGGUGAACCUUAUUUCAAGUAAAUAAAGGAACACUAUAAUUUUUAGAGCUUGGGACUUCAAAUUGGAGGAUUUAGAUUCAGAUCUUGUAAAGGGAGGCUAGGUAUAUGGAAUGUGAAAGAGCCAUCUUUUUCUAUGAUUCAAGUCGACUGGCUUCCUAACAUACUGAAAGGAUAAAAUGGUACACGGCUAAAUCCCUAUUUCCUUGUUUUUCUCACAGUAUAGUUCAACUGGUCAACUUAACAAUGUCUGAUAAUCCCUAGUUGUCCUACAUAUUGUAGCAUGAACUUUCAAAAUUGUAUCUGUAGUCUAACUUUAUGGAUCUGUGUUCUUCCAGCUUGUGAAAUAGGUUCAGAAGCAUCUGAUUUCAGUAUUAGGAUUUUACUUAUGUUUAGGAUGGAACUAUUUGUUGAACUUGCAUUUGAUGAUUGUGACUAUAGACAAUUUUUCAUUAAUCUCAUUGUUCUUUUGAUGUUUGGGUAUUUAUAUACCUUAUUUCUGUCUCUCUUUUACUCAUCCAGUUCACUUGAAUAUACACACACAAAAAUACUAUAAAUACGGAGAACAUUAGCAAAACAUUGCCAAGAUAUGCUAGGCAUUGGCUAGGUACAGCAUUGAAAGGACAAAAGAUUGCAGUGAAGCCAUGUAAUGAAGGAGAAACUUUAAGAAGAAUUUGAAUCCCUUGCUUUAGGAUUAUGCUAGUGGUGAAACUUUGAUUAAAAGGGCUCAAAUUAGAGAAGAAAGUUUGAUUGGAAGGUGAUGUGAUCAAAAGAAUGGGAGGAGUUACUAUGAUCCUUUGCAACUUGGCUGCUGCUUGUCGAUGAAGAAGAUGGAGAAAAUGGGUUUUAGAAUAGGGCAGAAAAAUAUUUUCAAGUGACCUUUUGGUUGAAAGGUUUAGAAUGUAGGAGGCUACAAUAUCUAAGUCUCUAAAGCUAUUGGGCCAGAUAUAGCAAUUACAGCAAAGUUGAUUGCAGCUGAUAUGAACCCCCAAGUUUUGGUUGGUUUAUAUGUUCAAUAAAACUGUGAACUAUGAAAUGGCAGUUUUAAAGUAAUAUUAUUCCUUGUAUUUGCUUAGUGAAUAGUUCUUCAUCCUCUAGCAACUACACAUAGUAUAUUUGUCCCCCCUGAAUUUUCUUUAAAUGUCAGAUCAAUGAUGGAUCAUCCUAACUACAGUUACUUUUGUUCAGUUGGAAGGAGGAAUUUCUCACCUCCCUUUGCUUGACCCAUCAAUGCGAGCGGCAGCUAUAGCACCAUCAGAAUGGAGGAAAAGACUAGAAGCAGUAAAUAACAAUGACGCGGCAUCAAAUACAAAUCCUAGAACAAACUAUAUUUUGCUGGACGUAAGAAAUGGUAGUUAGAAAUCUUUUGAUCUAGACAUAUCUUUUCCAUAUAUUGUUUACUUUGGCUUUAAUAAUUGGAAGAAUAGUAGUGUAAUCUGGUAACUUUAAAGUCUUAUUUUUUGGUAAUAUUUAACUUACCAUCAAAAUCCCAGUUCUUGAAGGUGAAUUUGGAACUUAUUGAUUCAUCAAAGAGUUAUAGAUAGAAUGCCAGUUAAAACUAUCCAACAUUUUGCCUUAUUGUCUAUUAAAUAGAAAUUGAAGGAGGCUUGUCGUUCAUGUAAUACCUGCAAAAAAUUACUCUGGAAAAAAUGAAUUGGAUUAAGUUGUUGGCAAUAUUGUGUUGCACAUUUGGCUUUUCCAUUUUCAAGUGCUAGCUUUAAGUUGAGCAUUGUUUGAGAUAGGAUGGUCCAACUUUGUGCCUGAUAAAAUGUGUAUCCUAAACUCUGAAAAACAUGAUGAUGUAUUUAAUAGAUUUAAGUUUUUUUACAAAUACAAUAAUUUUUACUGAUGCCCAAAUGUAUAGCAUCGUAAGACAUAAAUGAUGACUUGGCUAGAAAGAGUUUUUAAUGAGGUAGAGAAGACUAGGUUUUGCAAGAGUAAAAACUAGAUACAUCAUUCUAUCAGUUUUUCAAUGGUUUAUAUUGUGGAGAAACGAGUUAUGUAUCAAGCUCUUUAUAUGACAAUGAUUUCCACAUGGAAGUGAAAAUUUUCUUUAAUUGCUGUGAUGUCAUAGAAAAUGGGCUGCUCUUUGAAGGUGCUUCACCUAGAUCUAGAUUAGAGAUUUAGCAAAGAAACUCAAACAGAUUUAUGGUUGACUGGACGAGAGAAUUUAGGGAGAGAGCAAUAGAGAUCAAUCACAAAGCAAUUGAAAACAGAAAGUAAUAUCUCUCAAGUUGAAUUGUGCCAUGUCCAUAGUGCAGUAAGAUAAAGGAAUACAUGUCGAGCUUUUUGGGUAACUAUUAGGGAACUAACUCUUCACUAUAGAACACUUAUAGAUUGCUUUCUCAUUGUUCUCCUAUUAAUGUUUGAAGAUGUUGGGAUUCCUUGAAUUUAGGCUACGAAUGGGAUAUUGGUCAUUUUCAUGGUGCUCAACGACCAGAUGUGGAUUGCUUUAGAAGCACUUCAUUUGGAAUAUCUCCAACUGAGGUAAUGGUGUUACUUUGCCAACUUCAAAUUUUGUUUUGACUUUUAUGUAUGGUUGCAUGUUUAGAUCCCUGUUAGACAACAUAUUGUUAAGUUUUUCUGUUUUUCACAAAUAGUUUUGCAGUCCCAUCCAAAAUUCAUGAAUGUAACCUUAAAACAAAUUAGAAGUCCUAUUAUAAGUAAAAGGAUAAUUGAGGAGGUUUUAAAUUGGACAAAUUUGGAAGGUUCAAAAUAGGUGAACAAGUGAUAUAGGAUUUAGGUGAUGAUUUUGUAUAGAGGAAUUAUCAUAAGAAUAAACUGGUAAGCUUGUUGUAGAGAGUUCUCAUUCUGUGGUAUGGUUUGCGGUAGUGCCUGUAAUGCCUUUUACUGCAUUGAUGCAUUGCAUAAAUUCGGAAGUUUCAAAUGACAUUUAGGGAGACAACUCAAGUAGCUACAGGAAGAGGAGACUUGAAUAUUCUUUUACCUCACAUCCUCAUUUGUGAGGUAAUUCAUCCGCAAUUUAAAGUCUCCAAGAGAAACAAACAAACGAAAUACAAUAUUCAAGUUCUGUUACAUUUGAAAAGAUCUUUGAAUAGCUACUAAUGGUUCAAUACCAAAACAAUAUCCCAAACUGGAUCUCAUGGCUUCAACCAAUUUAGAAUCUUUAAAUAGCUAGUAAACCACAUCUAGCCUCACACAUUUGAACAAAUCAAGCAUUAGUUUCAAUAUAUCAUAUAGUUCAGUUGACAACAUUACUUAAAUCAAAAUUGCUCAAAGUGUUGGCUGUUGCAUUUGUGGCAAUUUCAAGCUUGUAUUGCAAUUUUUCUGUGCUGAAUUAUGGGUUGAUCCUUAUAUGGAUGGAAAGCACAUUGGUUCUAGUUUCUAAAUCAUCAAAUGGAUAAUGGUGUGGAACUUUGUAGCUUAUAUGAUUAAUUUAGUGGUUGUGCAAGCUUUCAGAUUUUUCGUUUAAAGGCUAUGUUAUUUUGGGUGCUUUGAUGGAUCUUGUCACUGGACGAUUCACAGGCAAUCCUUGUGUCUUGUCAGGGCUCUUUCCCUGAUUUAAACCUCUUCCUUGUGAAUGACCUAUGUUGAACAAAUGGAACUCGUCGAAGGGAAUUCCAGACCUUACUCGUUAGAGAGAAUCUUAAUUCUCCCUGUUAAAUAGAGUUUACAUAUGUUUUCUUGUUUGAAUAAAAUACUUAUAACCUAAGUAAAUUAAGACAGGGACUCUAAAUAAUGAAAGACUCAUAAUAUCUCUCUACAAAUACUUUUAAUUAAAAAAGAUCUUCUAAAGAUAUAAAAUACUCAUAACUAAAAUCUCCUAAUAAAAUAAUAAAAAACUAAUCUUUUAAUAAUUACUUGACCUCUAACAUUACUCCCCUCCUGGAAACAGUGCUUGUCCACUAGCUCGAGAUUGAAUAGCUCAUGCAUUUUUUUGGCUUGUUAUUGCAUGUCAAGAUAUUUCAGCUUCCUUACACUCUUGAUUUUUCCCAACAUCAUCGGUAUCUUUUGCCUCAAACCAAAAUAAUUUCUUACAUUGGUGCUUGAACAAGUAUGGUUCGUCACAAUUGUAACUAAGACCCUUGGCUCUUCUCUCUGCCAUCACUACUCGACUUUUUAAUAAAAGGAGGAUCUUUCUUGCUAGCACUAGAGUCUCUUGUCAAUUCCCAACUACGCAGGUCAGCAGCUUGAGUUAGUUGAUAUUUUGUCUCAAAAGUUCGCGCCAAAUUCAUAGCAUGAACAUAGUUUUUAGGUUUCUGCAUCUCCACAUAUAUUCAGAUUGAAUCUGAUAACCCUGUAGUAAAUAAAUUAAUUUAUUGAUCCAGUCUCAUGGAAUUUACACGGGCUAAUAGUUCUUGAAAUUGGCAAAAACAGUCUUCCAUUGAUCCCAUUUGAUUCAACUUCACUAAUUCCCUCAAAGGAUUCUCGCGCAGUGGUGGUCCAAAUCGUAGAGUACAAUAUUCUUUGAAUGCCUUCCACAAAAGAUUAAGCUCUUCCUACUCCAUUUGAUAAUACCACAAUUGUGCCUUUCCUUGUCAAGUGAAAAGCGGCUAGACUCACUUUGUCUAUUUUGACUGUCUUCUGAUUCACAAAGAACAUCUUGUAUCAGUACAACCAAAUUAGCAAUUCUUUUUAAACCGGAUUGGGGGUCGAAUCGGUCAGGCCACUGGCUCGCCAGUUCAACCGGUCCAAUUUAAAAAUUAUUAAAAUUUAAUUUUAAAAAAAAACUCGAUUCAACCAUCAGUUUUUUAGCCGGUUCAAUCGAUUCAAUUGGUGGUUCAACCGGUUUGUACCGGUUAUCAAUUUAACUGGUUCAAAGCCAUUCUCUGGACCGAUCCCUUGGUCGGUUCCCAGUCCAACCGGCUGGUCCUGUCCGGUUCUAAUAACACUAUAAAUUAAAGGGUCUUCUGUUCCAUCGAAAGUUGGAAAAUCUAACUUCAUGUAUUGUGGAACCACUCUGAAUCUCGUCGCUGUCCCUAAUUGGUUUUCCUGUUUCUCUAAUUGACUUACUUUUUUGUCAACAUUGCUGUUAUUACUGUCAACCCCUUUUCCCUUAUCAAAGUUUUGAUUGGAAAUAAUCAAUUCCCCCAUCUAUAGCAUGAAUUGAUUGAUCUUUAACUCUAUUUAUGCUUUAAACAACUCCAACUCCUCUCUUGUAAUGGAACGUCCAUUGUUCCUGGCUCUGAUACCAAAUUGUUAUAGCCUCGACGGAUGAAUAUUGUCACCGGAGGAUUCACAGGCAAUCUGUUUGUCUUGUUAGGGUUCUUUCCUUGAUUUUUACCUCUUCCUCACGAAUGACCUAUGUUGAACAAGUGGAACUCCUUGAAGGGAAUUCCAAACCUUAAGACUUGUUAGAAAGAACCUUAAAUCUCGUAAAAUUUUCUUAAUUUGACUUCAUUUUAUUUUCAGCAAUAGACCUCUUAAAUAGAGGUUAAUAGGUUUACUUGUUUGAAUAAAAUACUUAUAACCUACGUCAAUUAAAACAAGGACUUUAAAUAAAGAAAAACUCCUAAUAUCUCUCUAAAAAUACUUUUAAUUAAAAAAGAUCUCCUAAAAAUAUAAAAUACUCAUAAAUAAAAUCUCCUGAUAAAAUAGUAAUAAACUAAUCUAAUAAUAAUUACUUACGUCUAACAUUUUAUGGUAUAAAUAGCAUUUAGAGAGUGUGGUUGAUUUUGAUAUGUUCAUAUGAUUUUGAAUAGGAUUUUGAUUUUGUAGCUGAAAACUAGCUUGCUGGAACAAAGCAGGUCAUGGACAUGCAUUCUACCGUAGUGGCAUGUGGAUCAUUCUUUUCUUUUCCUUUUUCUUCUUUCCUUUAUGGGCUUUUAUGUCUUUGGUUCUGAAUGCUGGCUAUUAUCUCUUCUCUCACAUUUGCAGGGUGUUGCUUCAGAUCAGCUAUUACAAGUUGAUAAAGAAAAAACUGAUAUUUUGAUGUAUUGUACAGGAGGUAUACGUUGUGAUGUAUAUUCAACAAUCUUAAGGUCACCUGCUGUUCUGUUCUGCCCUGUUCUUCUGCUGUUCUGUUCUGUUCUGUCCUGUUCCUUUCAUUUCUUUUCUGUAAUUAUGUUUGAAAUUUAGAGCUUUACAUCAGAAUUGAAAAAUGCAUAUAGAGCUUAAACAUGCACAUUAAAUUACAAAUCUAAUAUUUCAACAUUACAAAUAAAAAUUAUAGAAGUAAAAGGAAUGGCAUAGGUGUAACAUAGUAUCUUAAUGCCAACUAAUUCAAUGGGCAUACAUUAAGCAAACUGUCCAACAUACAACAUUUCAAUAUCAUGACUUUUAGAAUACUUAAGGUUAUUCUUUGGCUAAAGAGUAAGUGCUUCUAGGAAACAUAUACAUGGAAUGUAGAAUGACAUCAUAGAGAUGGAACAAUAUGUUAAUUUCUGAAAAAUGAGGACAUUUCAUAGUGGUUUAUUGCAAUAAAAAUACAUUAGAUAUAUAAAUAUGUUUUAUUUGCAUUUUCUCACUAUACUUAUAAUUAAUUUUAAGGAAGUUCAAACUAAAUGAUCGUUUAAAACAAAUAAAAUAAAUUUAAAACCAUUAAUAGAUUGUUAAUUUAGCUAUCUUGAACAUGCUUUUCUAAAUAGGUUGCACUGGCAGUUUGGGGCUCUAAACAUUGAAAUAUGUUUAAGCCGAAUGCUUUGCCCAAACACCUUAAAACACCAUUAAACCAACCAAAAUUAUAUGCCCAAUGGCACUUAAGAUUUGUUGUCUUCGUAAAUCCAAGUAGUAUCAUUCUCUUCAGAACCCUAACUAGCUUUUCCUCCCUCUUUACUUCUUCAAUGGUUCACAUCAAACUUGUUCUAGCAAAAUCAUGAAUGGUUAAUUGUAGUGCAAUAAUUGGAGGUUGUAUGCUUAGUUACGAGUAAAUUCCACCCACCCAUAUAGCUUGCACUUUUCUUUUUCCCGGGUAGCACCUUGGGUUUUUUUGUCUCAACUAGCAGCCUAUGAUUGAAUUUUGUAUCGGAGUACUCCGCCAUUAAUUUUACCUGGUGAAAAAAAUCAAAAUUCUGAAGUAUCUGUGAAAAAAAAAAAUCUGAAGUAUCUUAUUUGUUCACCUUUAAGUUCUAUUUCUCUUUUGGAUAACAUUAAAAGCUUAACCCUCUAUUGCUAUAGAAACUUAACCACAUCAUGCUUAAUUAAGAGAAAAAAAUCUUAGGGUGCUAUGAGGAAAAGCUUGAAAUAUAAGCGGUGUUUUUGUUGUAUCUAACUACAUAAAAACAGAAUGCAAAAGAAAAAAGAAGAAGAAGAAGAAGAAGAAGAAGAAGAAGAAGAAGGAUAACUGAUAACAUGUAUCCCAUUGGGAUUUAAAUUGUGGUUGGGAAUGUGAAUUUCUUUCACAUCCUGUUAUUGCUAUUGUGCACAAAUGGAUGUUACCACGGUAAAAAAUAAAGGCUAUGAAUAUCAGGGGUGAAGAGAGUGGAAACUGUUAGAUAGCGACCUGAACCUUGUGUUACGGCCGCUAUUUAAAUCCUUGAUCAAACAUGGAUAUGACACUGAUAUGUGGGGGCUGCAGUGUGUACUGUAAAGAGGGAAUGCUCAAACUUAGUAACGAUGUAAAUUGUAUUUAUUGGUAGGAAGAGAAAACAUAAUGAGAUACAUCGUAGCUGUGAUUGAAUUACAUUGCAAGUCAAUGUACUAUAGAAAAUUGCCCACUCUAACAAGAUAGUCCAUUUUUAUGUUAGACAACAGGGUUUUCAAAAUUUGUACACCUUGGAGGGAGGGGUAUCUCAUUACCUCAAAACUGAAGGUCCUGUAAAAUGGAUUGGGAACUUAUUCACAUUUGACUCUCGUCUUUCUCUCCCACCAUCUGCCUAUAACAAUGAAACAAUGAUUGAAGCCAGCAUGACUCAGCAAGCAUUUGACAGUGAUAAAUUUGCUAAAUGCUACGUUUGCAAUUCACAAGUUUCUGAGUUAAGGCAUCGGAACUGUGCCAAUCUUGACUGCAACUUUCUUUUCUUGUAAGUUUUUUUCUCCCCUUUUAUUGCAUAUUUGGCCUGCAUAAUUGUGAAGGUUUAGCUCAUGCUAGAAAUGCACGUCACACAAAUAACCUAACCGGGUUAUUGUGGCUGUUUGAAAAUAGCCAUUAAACAUAAUUUACCUAUGGACUGAAUCAAUCAUAUCAAUGAUGUUGGUUCUAUAGUUCUAGCUUGUGAUUUUAACUCUAAAUUUCUGGACAUAUGGGAAUUCUUGAAAGAUCAUGCAUAGAGGACUGAUGGCAGCCUAUUCAUGAAUUUUUGUUUUUGGAAAUAGCAUGAGAGUUGGAAGUGGAACUUCUUAUCUUGGUAGUGGAAAAUAUAAUGUUUAAAUCACAUUGUUUUCUUUUUUGUGUUUAUUUCUAGCUUUCUCACUGGUCAUCAUACUUGUUCUACAUUUAUUUAUUUAUUUUUGAGGGGGAGGGGUGAUAAACCAUAAAAGUUUAGCAAAGUAAAAGGCGUUCUCACAUCCUUUUUUUUUCUUUUUCUUUUUCUUUUUCCUUCUAUCAAGAUCAGGAUUACUCCAAUAAAAAACCACAAUAUAUAACUUAUAUAUUUUUAUAUUUUCAUGUAGAAAAUAUUCAAAGUUUACAUAACAUAUAAUCAAUUAUUUGAGUAAAAUUCAUAUUAUUACUCAAAAAUGUCCAGUCAAUUUUCAGACUCAGUUUAUAUCCCCUAAAUGUAAUAAAAAGGUUGAAGUGUUAUAAAAUGUAAAUAAUUACUAUGCUUAAAUCGAUUUCAAGGGCCUAAAGAAUAUCUUAGCGCAAGUAUUCGGGUUAGAAUGGUGCCCAAGUGUGCUUUUUGUGUGUGUGUGUGUGUUGAAUUAGUGACUAUAAGUGGAUCACAAGAUUAAACCUUUUUGUUUCAGCUUAUUAAGUAUUCAACCUUUUCAAAUUGAUACAAAUAAGGAAUUAAUUGAAAGUUUUCAAGAGAGCUUUUAAUAAAACUGUUCUAUUAUUAUUAACUAAAGAUCUGAACCUAAAUAGAGAAAAGAGUCUUAAUCCUAAUUGGGAAAAUAAUUCUCUUAUUCUAAGAAACUACUAAAACAUAAGGGAAAAUAGUUCUCUUAAACUAAUAAACUACUAAAAGAUAAAAUAAAAUUUUCCUAGAGUAUGAAUAAAACUUAUCUACCUAAAUAAGAUUUAUCUACCUAAAUAAAUUUAAAAAAUAUAUUUUUCAACACCCUUCCUCAAGUUGGUGCAUGUAUAUCAAUCAUGCCCAACUUGCUUACAAGAAAAUCAAAGUUUGUCUUAGAGAGCUGAGUAUGUUAGCAAUCUGUUGUUUUGAAGGAACAAACGGCAUGCAUACUUGGCAUUCUUCAAUCUUCUCCUUGAUAAACUGUCUAUCAAUCUCAACAUGUUUAGUUCUGUCAUGCUGGACUGGGUUGUGAGCAAUAUUAAUGGCAGCUUUGCUAUCACAGUACAACUUUAUUGGUGAAGUUAUUGGUUUCUUUAGCUCUUCCAUAUGUCUUUUUAACCAUAUAAUUUUACAAAUUCCUUGAGCCAUUGAUCUAAACUCAACCUUUGCAUUACUUCUUGUUACAACACUUUGUUUUUUGUUUCGUCAAGUCACAAGGUUUCCCUAAAUAAAUGUACAGUAUCCUGAUGUAGAUCUUCUAUCUGUUAUUGAGCCUGCCCAAUCUGCAUCUGUAUAAGCUUCAAUUCCUUUUUGUUCGGAUUUCUUGAAGAAUAAGCCAUUUCCAGGUGAACUCUUCAAGUAUCUUAGAAUUCGAAACAUUGCUUCUUCAUGUUCCUCCAUUGGGGAGUGCAUAAAUUGACUCAAUAAGCUCACUGCAAAAGCUAUGUCUAGCCUUAUAUGUGAUAAGUAAAUUAACUUACCAACUAAUCUUUGGUACUACCCUUUAUCAACUAAACGACCUUUCCGAAUUUUACAUUUGGAUCAAUUGGUGUGUCAGCUGGGCAGCAACCACUCAUCCCAGCCUCUUUUAAAAGAUCAAUCACAUAUUUUUUCUGAGAGACCACAAGACCCUUCUUUGAUUGAGCAACUUCCAUUCCAAGAAAGUAUUUCAAAGGACCCAAGUCUUUGAUCUCAAACUCCAAUGCUAGAUGCUCCUUGAGACGCCUUAUUUCAUCCACAUCAUCUCCUGUAAGAAUGAUAUCAUUGACAUAAACUAUAAUAACUACUAUUUUACAUUUUUGUAAAUGUUGAUGUCAGAUUACAGUUUACUAAUUAAGGAAUAUUUAAGUGUAUCAGAUAGGAUUCUGUAAAUAUUUUACUGAUUACUAUCCCUAACUUUAAGGCUGUUUUUUUUAGACAGCAUCCCUAGAGUUAGUCUGUUUCCUAGUAUAGAGUUUCCUAAGUUAGGCUUACUAUGUGUAUAAAUAUUUAUGUAAUUUCUUAUGAAUAAGACGGAAUAGAAAAAGUCUGUUCUUAACAUGGUAUCUGAGCCGUUUUUUUAGCUCAAAUUCUGGGUUUUUUUCUUUGUCUGGCAACUUCUUCUCAUUCCCGAUCAACCCUUAAGCCUGUAGAAUUUGUUCAAAAGAAACAUGGCUGAAACUGUCAAAACCAGCAACACUGGAGAAGGGAAUUCUCAAGAAUCAUCUGUUGAGUUCAGUAAAGAAGAAAUUGAGAAGUUGAAAGAAUCUGUUGGGAUCAUUGGAAAAAUCUCCUUCAAUAGGUACUAGUGGUUUGGUUUUUUCAGGUAUAUCCUCUUCUCAAAAUUCUAAAAUCUCGGAUAUACCCACAAAAAGUUCUUGGGUCAUUGACUCGGGAGCUACAGACCACAUGACCCACUCCUCACAAAAAUUUGUUUCAUAUACACCUUGUCCUAGUAGUAAAAAGAUAACAGUAGCCGAUGGUUCUGUGAUCACAGUGGCUGGUCAGGGUGAUAUUGUUAUAAACAAAACCUUUACUCUUAAAAAUGUCCUUCAUGUUCCAAAACUAUUUACCAAUCUUCUAUCCAUCCAAAGAAUUACCAACGACUCUAACUGUAGUGUGGUUUUCUAUCACAAUCGAUGUCUUUUUCAAGAACAGAAUACGAGGAGGAUGAUUGGACAUGCUAAGGAAGUAAAUGGCUUAUACUAUCUUGAGGAAUCCAGUGGAGAAGUUAGUGCUCUGAAUUUCUCACCAUUAUCUUUCAUAUCCGAAUAUAUUAAAACCAAUAAAAACCAAAUUUGGCUCCAUCACCUCCGCCUUGGUCAUCCAUCGUUUAGAGUCUUUAAAAUUAUGUUUCCUUCAUUGUUCAAAGGAUUAACUGUUGAAAAAUUCCAUUGUGAUGUCUGUGAACUUGCAAAACAUAAACGUACCUCUUUUCCGGUAAGCAAUAAAAGAACAUCCGCUCCUUUUACUCUUAUUCAUAGUGAUGUUUGGGGACCAUCCACUAUUUCAAAUAUUUCUGGGGCUCGGUGGUUUGUAUCCUUUAUUGAUGAUUGUACUCGUGUGUCUUGGAUAUUUCUUUUAAAACAGAAAUCUGAUGUAAGGUCUGUCUUUCCAACCUUUUACAACAUGAUCAAAACACAAUUUGGAGCUGAAAUAAAAAGGUUUAGGUCAGACAAUGCCAAGGACUAUUUCAAUCAGUUUCUCUCACCAUAUUUCCAAGAAAGAGACAUUAUACAUGAGUCAUCUUGUGUUAGCACACCCCAACAAAAUGGUGUUGCAGAAAGAAAAAAUGGUCACAUUUUAGCUAUUACAAGAGCCCUCUUGUUCCAAAAAAAAUGUCCCUAAACAAUACUGGGGGGAGGCUAUUUUAACUGCUACUCAUAUGAUAAAUAGAUUGCCUAUAAAAGUCCUUGAAUCUCAAAGUCCUAUGCAAGUUCUAGCAAAAUUCUUUAAUGAUUUUAGUACUUCAAGUAGCCUUCCUCCCAAAAUAUUUGGUUGUGUUGCCUUUGUACAUGUACAUUCUCAAAAUAGAGGAAAAUUUGAUCCACGAGCUGUCAAGUGUGUCUUUCUCGGUUAUUCUUCCACUCAAAAGGGGUACAAAUGCUAUCAUCCAGCCACAAAAAAAUUUUAUGUAUCAGCGGAUGUUACUUUUGCAGAACAAGAGAAUUUCUUUACUCGUCCUUAUCUUCAGGGGGAGAUCUUAUUCACAGAAGAUAAGGACAGAGAAUUCUUUCUUCUUGACAUUCCAGCUACUGUCCAGCAACCAAACACUCACAUUCCAGCUCCUGUCCAGUAACUAAACACUCACAUUCCAGCUCCCGUCCAGCAACCAAACACUCACAUUCCAGCUCCUGUCCAGCAACCUGAAACAGAGCCUAAUACACCCAAAUCACAAAGAGGGAUUCAGGACACUACUCGUCCUUUACUGGUUUACUCAAGGAAGAAGGCACCGGUGUAAGUUCAAUCAUUUUCUCCUCCUAUACAACCUGAGGUAAUUGCUGAACCUACUACUGAAACUACUGAAAAUUUAGAUGAAUUUCUCAUUUCUAUUAGAAAAGGGAUUAGAGCCUGUACAAAACAUCCCUUGUACUUAUUUUUGUCUUACAAAAAUUUGUCCCAUAACCACAAAGCCUUUCUUACUAGCCUAAAUUCUAUCUCCAUUCCUAAAACAGUAUCCGAGGCAUUAGAAGAUGAGAAUUGGAAAAUGCCAUGAAGGUUGAAAUGGAAGCUCUUGAAAAAAAUAAGACAUGGGACUUGGUGAAAUUAUCGAGAGAAAAGAAACUAGUGGGAUGUCGCUGGGUGUACACAGUGAAGUAUAAAUCAGAUGGUUCUUUGGAGAGGUACAAAGCAAGAUUGGUUGCUAAAGGGUACACUCAAAUGUAUGGAAUAGACUACCUUGAGACAUUUGCCCCUGUUGCAAAGAUGAACACUGUGAGAGUGUUGCCAACCGAGGCUGGAAAUUACAGCAAUUUGACAUAAAAAAUGCCUUUUUACAUGGUGAUCUUGAGGAGGAAGUCUAUAUGGAUGUUCCACCAGGAUUCGGUCCAAAUACAGGACAGGUAGUUUGCAGACUAAAAAAGGCUUUGUACGGACUAAAACAGUCCCCGAUGGCUUGGUUUGGAAGAUUUACCAAAGUAAUGCUCAAGUUGGGGUAUAAACAGAGUCAAGGAGAUCACACUCUGUUUGUAAAACACUCAUCUUCAGGGGGAGUGACUGCUUUAUUAGUCUAUGUAGAUGACAUUAUAGUAACCGGUGAUGACCUAGAAGGAAUGGAGAAUUUAAAGAAAUGCCUAGUAAAAGAAUUUGAAGUCAAAGAACUCGAAAAGUUAAAAUAUUUCCUUGGUAUUGAAGUGGCACACUCUCGGGAAGGAAUCUUCAUAUCUCAACAAAAAUACAUAGUUGAUUUGUUGACAGAGACAGGCAAGUUGGGAUGUAAACCAGCAGACACACCCAUAGAGGUGAAUCACAAACUUGGAGAUGCACUAGAAGAUGCAACAGUUGAUGAAAGUUCAUAUCAAAGACUUGUGGGGAAGCUCAUUUACUUGUCUCAUACCAGACCGGAUAUUGCCUAUGCAGUCGGUGUUGUAAGUCAGUUUAUGCACAACCCCAAAGAAUCACAUCUUAGAGCUGUGUAUCAAAUUCUACAGUACUUAAAGGGCAAGCCAGUUAAAGGAAUCCUAUUUAAAAAGGGGGAGAAUUUAACCCUUGAAGUCUAUACUGAUGCAGAUUAUGCAGGGUCUAUGGUUGAUAGAAGAUCAACCUCGGGAUAUUGCACUUUCCUAGGAGGCAAUCUUGUGACUUGGAGGAGUAAAAAAUAGAAUGUUGUGGCUAGAUCUAGUGCAGAAGCUGAAUUUAGGGCGAUGGCUCUUGCAAUUUGUGAGCUAUUAUGGCUAAAAAUUAUUUUGGAAGAUUUGAAGAUCAAGUGGGAAGGUCCAAUAAAGUUGUAUUGUGAUAAUAAGUCUGCUAUCAAUAUUGCACAUAAUCCAGUUCAACAUGAUCGUACGAAGCACGUUGAGGUUGACAGACAUUUUAUAAAGGAAAAACUAGACAGUGGCUUAAUUUGCACUCCAUUUGUGUCCACUGAUGGUCAACUAGCAGACAUACUUACCAAAGGGUUGUCUGGAAAGUUGUUUCAAAAACUAGUAAACAAGCUGAGUAAACAAGCUGAGAAUGGAUGAUAUCCACUUCCCAGCUUGAGGGGGAGUGUCAGAUUACAGUUUACUAAUUAAGAAAUAUUUAAGUGUAUCAGAUAGGAUUCUGUAAAUACUUUACUAAUUACUAUCCCUAACUUUAAGGCUGUUUUUUUUAGACAACAUCCCUGGAGUUAGUCUGUUUCCUAGUAUAGAGUUUCCUAAGUUAGGCUUACUAUGUGUAUAAAUAUUCAUGUAAUUUCUUAUGAAUAAGACGGAAUAGAAAAAGCCUGUUCUUAACAGUUGAUAUAACAUCGUGUGAUCAGCUUGCCUUUGUCAGUAAUCUUGUUUUUUAACAACUUGAGUGAACCGUUCAAACCAAGCUCGAGUAGACUGAUUUAGACCAUACAAAGAUUUCUUGAGUUUACAUACUCGAGUUCCAAAUUUUUCUUCAAAACCUGGAGGAGGAUUUAUGUAAACUUCUUCUUCAAGUUUCUCAUUCAGGAAAGCAUUCUUCACAUCUAGCUGCUGUAAAGACCAAUCAAGAUUAACAGCAAUUGAUAAAAGAACUCUAACGGAAUUUAAUUUGACUACUGGAGCAAAUGUUUCAAGAUAAUCCAUCCUAUGUGUUUUGAGUGUACCCUUUAGCCACCAACCGGGCUUUGUAUCUAUCUAAAGAUUCAUCUGGUUUGAAUUUGGUUGUGAACACCCAUUUACAACCCAUUAUUUUUUUCCUUACAGGUAGUUCCAUUGUUUUUCAUGUACCUAUUUUUACAAGAGCGUGCAUCUCCUCUAAAAUAGCCUCCUUCUACUCAGGAACCUGUAAAGUAUUAUUCACAUUUUUGGGUAUUUUUACAUUAUCGAGACACAAAACAAAGGUUGAGAAUGUCGAAGAUAAGGCUUUAUAGGAUACAAAGUUAGACAUUGGAUAUUUGACAAUAUUUCUAACACAUUUUCUUUUGGCAAUUGGAGUAUCUAAAUCAAAAAAUUCAUUGGCUGGAUUAUGAGCUUUACCUGGACUUUUGACAGGAUCUUACAGGUCAGAUUCUUAGUGAUGAAUCUGGUAGAUUCCACUUUCUUGAUUUCGAUUUCUUCUUGAAUAAACAAUUAACUCCUUUGUUUGUUCUAUAUUCUCAUGAUCAGACUCUACACCUUUAUACUCCUUUUCGUUAACAUUAACAUCAUUAAUUUUUGUGUUAAUCAUAAAUUCGCCUUCCCUAUUAUUAGAAUCCCUAUGUUGUAUAUUUCUAGUCUUUUCUUGAUCAAUUAUAGAAUCUUCCUUACUAUAAUUCCCUCCCUGAAGAUUAGAAUCAAAAUAAGAUUGUGUUUCAACAAAUGUGACAUCCAUGGUAACAAUAAUCUUCCUAUCAAUUAGAUCAUAACAUUUGUAAUCCUUUUUAUUAGAAGCAUAGCCAACAAAGACACAUUUUUUUUGCUCUAGGAUCUAGUUUACCUUGGUUGUAAAGAUGAACAAAAACACUACAGCUAAAAACUCGAAAGGAUAAAUUUGUGAUCAAUUUAAAGUUAGAAAAGUUAUCUUUAAAGAGACGAAAAGGAGUUCUAUAGUUUAGAGUUUUACUGGGCAUUAUAUUAAUAAGAUAUGUAGCUAUUAACAAGGUUUCGCCCCAAAGAUAACGUGGUACCUAACUAGUGAAUAUCAAGGCUCUAGUUACUUCCAAAAGAUAUCAGUUUUUUCUUUCUGCAAUCCCAUUUUGUUGUGGUGUAUUUAUACAAGAACUUUGGUGGAUUAUUCCAUGUUUGGUUAAGAAAACACCUAUUGGUCACUAAAAAAUUUCCCAUCAUUAUCACUACGAAAUACUUCUAUUUUUACUCCAAAUUGUGUUUUCACCAUAGCAUAAAAAAACUAAAACACAUUUUUAAAUUCAGGCCUAUCUUUUAAUAAAAACACCCAACAAACACGAGUAUAAUCAUCAUAACUUUAUCAAAAUCAGAAACAGAAUUUAAACAUAAAAUAGUUGUUGGUUGACUUAGAUGGUUGUCUUUAAGAAAGUAAAUUCCACCAAAUUCUUUAGUAUUGUCAAUCAUUCUUCCCAAGACCAUGUCCUGAAAUUUACACAUAGAGGAGUCAAAUAUAACAUGACAACUUGAGGACUAGGAUAAUUUACUAACCGGUAUGAGAUUACAAGCUAGAUUUGACAUAUGUAAAACAUCAUGUAAAACCAAGGAAGACGAAAUUUUAACAGUGUCUUUCUCAGCUAUUGUCUAGAAGGACCCAUCUGCUACUUUGAUCUUUUUGUUUCCUGCGCAAGGUGUGUAAGUUAAAAAAAGAAAAUGACUACUAGUCAUGUGAUCAUUAGCUCUAGAAUCAACGAUCCACGUGUUUGUUUUACAAGGCUUGACAUUGAAAAAAACAAAAAAAAAUCAAUUCUUGAUUGGGCAAAAGAGGAAGAAAGAUUAUUGGAUAAGUUAGGAAUAGAAGAAUUCACUCGAAACUGUGGUGAUUGAAAAAACUAGUGUUGAUGCUCUAAUUGUUCUUUAGUGAAUAGAGAUCCUCCCAGAGAACUUUGGCCCUCAUAAUUUCCAUUAGUUGUUUGGAAAGCUCUGCUAUCCCCUAUUGUGAAACACGACCAUUGCCACUCUUUUUCCUUUCAUUUGUCGGUUUCCCAUGGAGCUUCCAACACGUUUCUUGAGUAUGCUAAUAUUUUUUGCAAUGGUCGCACCAAUAGUUACAAGAGUAGAAUUAUCAUCAUUAGCUUCAAAACCUGGCCUUAACAUUAUUUUUCUCCUUGUCUCCUCUCUUCUAACCUCAGAAAAAAUCUCACGAAGUUUUAGAAGCGGUUUUUUCCCUAAGAUCCGAGAUCUCACUUCAUCAAAUUCUUUAUUUAAACUAGCCAGAAACAAAUAAGCUCUUUCAUUCUCUUCUUUUUUCAUAGGUUUUACACCCUCUCCAGGACACUCCCAUUCAUCAUUAUAACAUUGAUCCAAUUAUCACCAAAGAGACAUCAUCUCGUUAUAAUAAAAAGUAACUUCUUUUUCCCCUUGCUUAGCUUUCCAAAGUUAUUUUUAACUCAAAGACCCGUGAAGCGUUUUCUAAAUCUGAAUAGGUGUCUUUCACAGCGUCCCAAACAUCUUUAGCAGUUGGGAGAAAAAGAAAAUGUUUACCUACGGAUGCUUCCAUGGAAUUAAUAAGCCACGCAAUUAUGAUAGAAUUUUUUGACCUCCACUUGCUCAUCUUUGGAUCACCCACCUGUGGUUCCUUGACUUCUUCAUUUAAAUGACCUAGCUUGCGGCACCCAUCAAUUGCUAAUUUUAUGGACUGCGACCGUUCCAAAUAAUUCUUGCCAUUCAGCUUGUGAGAUGUCAGCUAAAAAGAAAGGUGAGACGCCUCUGUCCCUUGAGUCAUUGUACUCUCGGUAGUUGUUUCAACUGUAAAAUUUUCUUCCUCAAUUUGAUUGCUGGAUCUCUUAUCUCCAGUGAAGGUUGUUUUAACCAUGAUGUUACUAGAGAUUUAACCUAGCUCAGAUGCCAUGAAAGUUUUAAAGAGAGCUUUUAAUAAAACUAUUCUAUUAUUAUUAACUAAAGAACUUAACUUAAAUAGAGAAAAGAGUCUUAAUCCUAAUUGGGAAAAUACUUCCCUCAUUCUAAUAAACUACUAAAAAAUAAGGGAAAAUAGUUCACUUAAACUAAUAAACUACUAAAAGAUAAAAUAAAAUAUUCCUAGAAUAUGAAUAAAAAUUAUGGUCAGUAAUCUAAUCCUUAAAAUUUAAGCCUAUUAAGUAUUCAACUCUAAAGACCAGUAAUCUAAUCCCUAAAUAUCAGUAGUAAUCAAAUCAGGUCAGUUGUCAUCAGCUGUCAAUGCUUGGUCAAGCAUUCUGCUGUGGCUCGGUCUUGACUCGAAUGCUAAAGGAACAGGUAAAAAUAAAAUGUUGAUGGUAGUUGCUGAUAGAAUAAAUUUCUAAGAGGGAAAGAAUAAGAAAAAAAUGGAAGAGCGAAGAAUGUUGAAAUUUUGAAUUAUGCUAAAGGAACAGUUAGGUAAGAAGUGUGGAGCAUGUUCAGAUCUUGAUACCCUAUGAGACAUCUAAUUUAAAACCACUUGUGACUAAACCAAUGGGCAAAAGUAGUGUUUUUCUAUCAUCUUAUAUUCAAGGUCAACCUCCCCAUUUAUUGUCUAUUAGUUUUUAGGUAGGAUGCUUAACAUUGAGUCAAGGCCUCGAGUAUACUUUGUUCAUCUUGCCUAACCGCAUUUGAGGUUGAUGACUCUUUGUGAGGCUGUUUACGUGUAGGCCUUUGUUGAGUUACAUGUGAGAGGGAGUGUGAAGUGGUAUUACCUCAAAUCUAUUAAGUUUAUUGUGAUCUUGAUUCAAGUUGCCGAUUAAUUUUAGGUUGGAUGCUUAACAGUUUAUGUUACCUUUGUGUGGUUCAUUCUUUACUUUUUGAUGUUGAUGUUUUGAUUGGUUUAUAAAUAAACUUUUAUAUUUUGAAGCCUCCCUUUGGAGUUUAUUUCCUCUCUUCAUUUAUUUGGAUGGUGUAAUGACUAGAUGGUACUUAGUUUGGUGGUUAUAUUUAACAAGCGUUCCCAUUCAAACUUCCUGCUUUUAACUUGAUUCUCAAUCUGUAUAAGAUUAGAUGGUAUUGGGAUUGAAAAUCUCAAUAAAUGAGAGCCUGAAGACCCACCCCCUUUAAGCCUUUGUCAAAUUCAAAGUUCUGCUUGUUUUAUGUAGAACUUUGUUGAUGAAUAUUUGUUUGGAGUUUUGCUUGAGUUGGUCAAGCAAAAUUAUUAGUUGAUCUUAGUUUGCUUGGUUUUAUUUUAUAAGCCUUACCCAUUCUUUUCUCUGCUAUCUUCUUCUUCAAUCUGUAUAGAAUAAAUGAAUGGUAUUGGCUUGAAAAUCUCAGUAAAUAAAAGCAUGAAGACCAAGCCCCUUUAACACCAUAUCGAAGACGAAAGUCUUGCUUGUUUUAUGGAAGAUUGUUUAUGAGUAAUUUCUUUGGAGUUUGCUUGAGUUUGUCAAGAAAAGUUAUCUGUUGAUAUGAAAAGUCAAUCCAGUUUGAUCUAGGAACAUUGGGUUUUGCUUGAAGUAUCAUGGAAAAUUAUUGAUGGUAACGAAAAACUGUUGAUGAUAAUGAUAACUUUGUGAUCAUUCAAAUUUUGGGAAGUUCUAUGGUUUUAGAAAUAUCAUAUUUCGGUGGAACUAAUGUAUUUUUUUACAUAAAAUAUUUACUUUCCAAACGUUCGUUUUAGGUAAAUAACCGAUGGGUAAAUUGUAUUUAUCUCUACUAUCCAGAUGUUGUGAAAACUGUGUGAUGGAUUUGAGAGGAUGUUGUUGUUACAAUUGCAUGACUGCGCCCCGACGCAGACCUGUUUUACCGGGGUUUCAAAGAUACAAAAUGUGGCAUGUGUAUCGAGAUCAGAAAGUCGAAGCUUGAGCUCAAUGAAGAAUUCAUGAUUAGGAUGUUUUUGAGGUAAUCAUUCAUAAUCUACCACAAUUUUGUGGUACCUUAUAAUCUUGUUAGUAUCUAGUUAUUGUAUCUAGAAAACAUGCAAUUUUUAAGUUUGCAACAGUUUAUGCUAUGUUGUAAGUGGUCACUGUAGUCUAGCACUUUCAUUAUAAUUUUAUAUUUCAGCAAACAAGCAACUUAAAAUAUCAACAGAAACAAGAAGAAAUCUAAAUCAAAAGUUAAUAAGAAAAAUAAUAUGGAUUAAGAGAUUGCGAAAAAUAUUCAAAUGAAAAUUGAACACAAAUAUGUCUAGUGAAAGGCAAAUUAAAAACAAAUUUGGGGAUAUCAUAGCUCCCCUAAGAGGAUGAUCAAAGCCUUACCAUUUUGUUUUGAAACGCAGAUUUGCAUAAUUCUAUAUAGGAAAUCAAGUCCAUUAAUAAGCAAGACAAAGACUGGAAACCCCAAUCAAUAUAAUAACACUGACUUUAACCUCCACGGUGAAUUAUCUCACCUUCUUUAUUUUAUUAUUUCUUGUUUUUACUACCACCGGCAGUGUAAACUCCAGCCGCCGCCUUUUCUUGUAAGGCCUUUGCAUCUCUUUCCCACCGUUGUUCAGGGGUCAAUCCAUCGUCCUUGGAUUUUCAAUGCUAUUGUACCCUUAUGAAGAAUACAUAAGAACAAAAGAUCCAACUUUUUGCUUUUUCCAUUUUUGUGCUCAAUCAAAUGCCAUGUUUUAGUGAAUUUAAGAGAAGAUUAGGUGAUACUUUUAUGGUUUCACAAUAUAUAUUCAGUUUUCAUUCAUUUGAAAUCUUUUUUUAAUCUCUUGAUGGCUAUUAUUAUUAUCAUCAUCGUUUGAUUUUGAUUUCUUCUUCUCUCUCCAUGUAUAAUAUUUUUCCUUGGAAAAGCUUACAUGAAAUGAAAUUGCAAAGAGAUAACGACAUAUAUAAUGCUGACAUGGAAGUUCAUUGACUAGUGUAAUUUUCUGCAACAAAGUUGAUAUUACAGCAAUAUAUAUUUCAAAUUAGGAAGCUAAGUUUGGAUUGGGUGAAAUGGAUUUUUAUAGAAGUUUCCAUCAAAUAAUUAUUUUUAUGAAGCCAAGAAUGAAGGAGGGAAAAAAAGCCAAUUUUUCUUUUAAGAGAAGUGGUACACCAAAUCGGGCAAACGACUUUUGUUGAACAUAAUUACUUAGAUACCCACAACCUAAAAUUAUUUAAGAAUUAAUAUUAAUACCAGAUUUGCCUUCACUUUAAUAGUAAUGUACAAAUAUGGAAAACUAAGGCAUGGGUUGAAUCUUUUUUAUAUCUAUAUAUAUUUUCUACAUGAAAUAUAUAAAAUGAUAAGUCUCGGAAAUCAUACAGUUCACUUUGUAAAGUGAACAUAUUUUCGUAUUUUCUUGACUAAGUUGGCACCCAAUUUUCAAUUGAUACCAACUCGAUUAGGGGUUUCAUAAUAAGUGUAGAUCAAUAGCAUCCCUAAUUUAAAGUAUAAAUGUUUUUAAAUUGUAAAAGUACCAUAGAGACCUUUGUACAAGAGUCAAAUUGCAUUGUCCCUUCUACUCAAAAUGGGCAAAUUAGUCCCCGAACAAAGAGCAACUGUUUGUUCUAUUGAAAAUUGCGUCCACUUUUACUGUUAAAAAUUAGUUCAUAUAUGUCAGAAUAAGGUACAUGUGACAUACAAUGUGUAAUUGAUUGAUACGCUAGUUUUUAGCGGUAGAAAUGAGGUGCUAGCUAUCCUACCGUGGAUUGAGCGAACACAGUUGUUCUUAGUCCCUUGAAUGGAAGAUGUUGUCCUAAAAAAAACUUGAAAACAGUGUUAGUCUUGGACGCAAAUGGUUGAGAGAAAAUGGUUAUUGCAAUUCUGAAAAUAUUGAAAAGGAACGGCUUGUGAGGAACGUUUGUCCAAGAAUCUAUUAAAGAAAAAAAGUGAAAAAUAAAAUAACCCAAAGAGAGGCGACUUUGAAUACUUUAUAUAGCAAUCAUGAUAAGCGUAACUAGUGGGGAGUGUAAAAAGAAAUGGCACCAUUGGGAUUACCUCCUGGUUUUAGGUUCCAUCCCACUGAUGAAGAGCUGGUGAAUUACUAUCUCAAAAGGAAAAUAAAUAGGCAAGAAAUCGAACUCGACAUCAUCCCCGAAGUUGAUCUCUACAAAUGUGAACCAUGGGAGUUAGCAGGUCUCUUUCUCAUUUCUACGUCUCAUUUCUAUGUUUAUUUCUCUACCACUUGCCUUGAUUCUUAUGUAUUAUUUUCACAGAAAAAUCAUUUUUUCCAAGUAGAGAUCCGGAGUGGUACUUCUUUGGACCCCGUGAUCGAAAAUACCCGAAUGGGUUCAGGACGAACAGGGCGACAAGGGCGGGAUAUUGGAAAUCUACAGGGAAGGAUAGGAGGGUUAGUUGCCAGAAUCGAGCCAUUGGAAUGAAGAAGACAUUGGUUUACUACAUAGGCCGUGCCCCUCAAGGAACCAGGACCGAUUGGGUAAUGCAUGAAUACCGGCUCGACGAUAAUGAAUGCGAGGGCACCUGUGGGAUUCAGGUAGUUGCUGCAUCAUAAACUUAACAUUCCAUGAUAAAGAUAACAAGCGUAACAGGACAAAAAACGAAUGGUUGAACUCGUCAGUUGCUUGCUUUAGUAUGAGAUUAUUAUUCACCAAUUAAUCAGGAUUUCAACUGCAUUCAUCAUAGCAUUUUCAAUCUCAUCCUAGGUUUUCAAUUACUCACAGUAAACAAUAGUGAAGAGAAGAAUAGAAAUCCAUGCUCCAAGCUCCGGCAGCGGCAGAACGUGCCGCUGAGUUUUGAUGGCCUAUUUAGAUUUUUUUUUAAAUUUUAGGGGUCUAAUUGAGUUUUUAAAACUUUUGAGGGACUUAAUAAAAAAUUUAAAAAUUUUGAGGUUUAAUUAAAAAUUUUCAAACGUUCGAGGCACCCCUUUGGCUCCAAUGUUGUUUUGCCCCGGCAUGAAUCCUACUUUUCCUCUUUUAUCUUUUUUCUUUUGUUGCUAUGUUUCAAUAAACACAAAAAAUUUAAUGUUGUUUGAAUUGGAUUGGAUCGGUCGGUCAAAUCGGUUGAAUCGAAAAACGAUUCGGAGAAAGACUUUGAAUUAGUUGAUCUGAGAAUCGACACGAACUGAUUGAAUUGGGUAAAAAGUCGAUUGAACUAAUUAAAUUAAAUUUCUUAAUUUUUUUAAUUAAACCAAUUAAAUUAAUUAAUAAACCGAUGAUCUGACCGAUUCGACCACCAAUUUAAUUUUUAAAAAAAUCCAACAGGAGUGUUGACAAUUCUUUAGGAUUUAGACCUAACAUCAUGAAAAUCAAUUACUUGCUUUAGUUUUCUUCCCUAAAUUGCUGAAUCUUCUGAAAUAUAGAGACGUAGGCAAUGCAUGACUUGCAUGCAAAGUUAGGGCAUUUAGGCACACUUUUACUUUAUCAUGAUUUUUUAUUAUAAAAAAAUCGAUACAAAGGUGACAUAUUCCUUACUUGCAGAUCUCUAAAGUAGGAAAUGUUUUGUCUUACUUUGCCUUUUCUAAUAAGACAAAACCAUUCUCCUCUCUCAACAUUUCAAGGUUUAAUUACUAUAAUUUGAUAUAAUAUUUACUUUAUAUCUCUUUUCUUCAUAUAUUUUAAUCAUGUUUAAAUUAUAUAAAAUUUUUCAUGUUGAUAAUCCAUAUUAUUUAAGUUUAAUGCAUUUCUUAUAAGUCUUUGAUUGAACUUAAUGUUCCAAGUUAACGGUAUUGAUUUUAUUAACAAAAUUUUAAAAAAAACUUAAAUUCUAAAAUAAAAAUUAUUAUAUAAUAAUUUAAUUUUUUUUAAUUGAGUUUAUUGUUACAAGGUAAAAUAUAUCAACUUAUUAAGUAAUUUAUAAAAAAAAAUUGCAAAACAAAGGUAUGUAAUUAUGAAGAGAUUAAUAUCUUUUACUUUUUUUUAAAUUCACUACCUAUUUUUUUUAAUCACCACUAAUAAAAUUUUGAAAUAAUGAACAUUACAAAAAAAAUAGUCAUUUUAGUUUUCUAUUUAAUUUUUCGCCUAUUUUAGUUCUUAAACUUAUAUUAUUUGUCAAAUCACUUUAAAAUAAAUGAAAUAAUUUUAUAGUUUUUUUUUAAUUUUUAAAAUUAAAAAAAUAUUAAUUAUUGAUGUGGCACUCAUGUAGCAAUUCAUGUGUAUGCCACAUCAGCAAAGUUAACAAAAAUUAACUUUUUUAUCCAUUUUAAAAUGAUUUAACAAAUAGCACAAUAUAAGAGUUAAAAAAGAUUAAAAAUUAAAUAAAGGUUUUUUUAAGUUGAAAGAUUUAAAUAAAACAUUAUCCCUAAAACUUUUCCAUACAUUGUUAAGAUUAAAGAAAAAAAUCAUCUAAACAGUGGUAUGCCAUAUUUCUAAUGUAUAUUGUGUGUGUAUUUUAAUUUUUUUUACAGUGUAUUUGUAUUGUAUAAUAUGGUAGUGUCCAAAAUUAUUCUAACUUGUAACUACAUCCCAACACCAUUAAAAGUUAUAUUCCAAACAUAUAUAUUCAGACACCUUUAUAAGUAGAGUUGUUCAUGAGUUAGGUCAGAUCCUAACAAAAAUCUAAAUACGGUUAAUAAGUUCAGUCUGAAAAAUAGGCUUAAACUUUUACUCAAGUUUGAUCCAGAUAAAAAUGUCAAAUCUUAAUUUGGCCUGUCCAUAUUAAAUUUUUUUAUUUUAUUUAUUUAUAUAAAAAAAUUAAAAAUAUAAUUCAUCAAAAACACUAAAAAUAUUAAAAUAAAUAUUUCCAAACAAAUUGAAAAUAAAUUUUAAAAAAAAAAGUCUUGAUAUUUAAAUAACACCAAUAUAGGUGCAAUUUAACAAGUAAAUGCCUCUAAAUUAGUAGCAAAAUUAACAAUAAAACAAGAGUUAUACAAUGUCCAAACAAUAACAAUAAAAUAGUAGUAACAUAAUAAGAAAAUAACAUUAAAACAGUAGGAAAACAAUAAAAAAAAUAAUAGAAAAACAACAACAAAUAGGAAGUUAUUUUUUACAAAUUCGAAUUAAGCCUAAGCAAAAAAUUCUUACUUAAGACUUAGCCUGUUUUUUAAACAGAUUUUAUUUCUUUUACCUAAAUUUAUUUUUUAAAAUUAUAUUUUUACCUAAAUUUUUUCACUUUUUUAAGUCUAAGCUUUUAGCAGGUGCACAUAAAACUUUACUUAUAAGCCAAUGAAUUUGCUGCUUUAUUUAUUUAUUCAUUAUGUUGAUAUUAUCUUCAGUCCAAGGCCCUUUGCUAUGUUUUGUUUAAUUCCUCGUUAUGGGUAAAGAUUUAUGAAGAAAAUGGGUUACCUUUUUAUCAUUAAAAUUGGUAGCCAAUAUUUUAAUGCCUCUCCAUCAACAGUUUCAAUGGAUGUUUAUCCUGUAUUUGUGUGUUUGUUCGUGUUAAAAUUUUUCGAGAUUUAAAUCAUUUUUUAUUUUCAAAUUAAAAAAAAUUAAUAAUAUUGAUUAUUAGUGAGAUUCAAUGUAAUUCUUUUUAUUAAAUAUUAUUUUCAUUUAAUUAAAAAUGGUUAAUAAUUUUUUUAUGCAAAAUUUAAAUAUUUCCACUUAUGAUUUUUAUUUCACUUAGGAAUAAAAUUACUUUUACUAAAAUUUGAGACAAGAUGUUGUUAUAAAAAAACUAAUUUAAUAAAUAAUAUACUUUAUAGUUUAUAGUUUAUUGUUGCUAUUAUUAUAGAUAAAAAGUUGUUAUAGAAGAUAAAAAUAAAAUAUAAACAGAAAUAAAUUUUAUAAUAAACUUGACUAUUACAAUAAAAUGUUGUUAUAGAAAAAUUUGAUUGUAUGUAACUUUUGACAAGUUUGUAAUAUGGGUUAUAUGGAUUUAAACACGUGCACUUCUUAGUGUCAUGUUCAUUUCAUGUCGUAUUAUGUUUUAUGUCAUGCAAUUAAAUUAUAGGUUAAAAUAUACCAUUAGUCUCUGCGCUUUAAUAAAAUUUGAGAUUUAGUCACUAUGCUUUAAAAGUUUAAAAAAAAAAAAACUAAGUCAUCUUACUUUAUUGAUUUAAAAAUCCAGUCCAAUAAUUGAAAUUGUAAGUAUUUUUCAUCAAAAUUUGUCAAUUUGACAUGUUGACUAGACCAUCCUCAUGUGAUGUGGACGAAAAAAAAACAUGUUACAUUGACAAAUUUUAAUUGGAAUUACCAAUUAUGGUAAUGAUUGAACUAGGAUUCUUAAACCGAAAAAGUAAGAGGAAUGAAAUUUUGACUAUUAAAGUAUAGGGACUAAAUCUCAAAUUUUAUAAAAGUAGAGUGACUAACAGCAAAAUUUAACCUAAAUGAUAUAAAUAGGAAGUAAAGAGAAGUGGUUAUUGGCAGGAUUCUUAUGCGCUAUGUCGGGUGUUCAAGAAAAAUGGCAUGACGGGAUCGGAAACAGAAGAGCAAGGGCAGAGUAGUUUAACGGUAAUGGAUCAGUACUGCUCGCAAGGUGUAAUUAUGAAUGAUUCGGAAACGAUGUAUGGAGAAGUCCCCAUAGGCGCCUCCUCAUCUUCAUGCAUGGAAGAGGAAGAAGAUAAAGAUGAUUCAUGGAUGCAGUUUAUCACUGAUGAUCCAUGGUGCUCUUCUAACUGUACUGCUGCCAUGGCUGGGGAUGAACUUUCUAAUACUGGCUUUUACAAUCUAAAAUAAUUUUGAGAUGGUGAAUAUACAACACAAAAUUAAUUGGGUAAUUAUGUUUCUUGAAAUAAGACGCAAAUAUUACACUGUAAGAUCUCUGAUAUUUUUCUCUCAUUGAUCAUUAGGAGAUUAGUUUCUCUGUUUGGAUGUAAUCACUUGGGGCCUCAUUAUUAUUAUUAUUAAAACAAUAACUACAUUAUGCUCGGCUUCGGCUUUUAUUAUUCUCUCACCCAUAAAUCAGAUCAGAUAUAAUAAUUAAUUAUGUCUCACUAUAUUCAUCGUCUUAUUCCUUUAUUAUUUCUUUUAUGAAAAACCUAAUUCCACCAAUUAAUUACAUAUCCAAAAACCUAAAAUUACACCUACUUCAAUUUUUGCACAAUUACUUCAUCAUCGACUCAAAACUUUGUAUUCUUUACAUUUUGGUCCAAAUCGACCUCGGUUUAACAAAUAAGAUUUCGUAAAUUUGUAUAAGACUUGGAGUUGAUUAUAUAAUGAUUAAUAGGCAUGAAGUACUUGUAAUUAAAUGUAUAUUGAUUAUCCAAUUGACUGCUAUAAAUUGCAGUUGCUCUAGCAACAAAUGUGAUAUCUUGUAAUUGAAUUUUUAGCUCUUUUAACUUCCACUAUAUCAAAACAUAUUUUUAGCGGCGUUUUUUUGGGCCUAUAGCGGCUUAUAAGUGUCGCUAACUAUUUGCGGCGCUUUUACAAGCGCAUCAAAAAAUGCAGCUAAAGACAAGCCACUAACAUUUUGUAGGGUUUAUGAAAAAACGCCGCUAUAGAACAUAACCUUUAGAGGCUCUUUUCCCACAAACUCCGCUAAAGAACAUGACCUUUAGCGGGGCUUUCUCACAAACGUCGCUAAAGAACAUGACCUUUAGCGGUACUUUUCCCACAAACGCCGCUAUAGAACAGACCUUUAGCGACGCUUUUGCCACAAAUGCCAUUAUAAAAUAGACCUUUAGUUGCGCUUUUCUCACAAACGCCGCUAAAGAACAUGACCUUUAAAAAAUUAUUUUAAUUAAAUAAUAUUUAUUUCUAUGGUAAAUAUUAUAUUAUGUUUAAUUUUUGAAAUUUGAACCUUAAACUAUAUACUUUUAAGAAUAAAUAAAAAUAUUAAUUAAAUUAAAUUUUCUAUUAAAAUUUUAACUUUAAAACUAAAUAUAAAAAUUAAUGAAUUUAAAUUUAAUACAUAAACAUUGAUUCAUUAUGUAAUUUAAUACAUAAAAAAAAACACACAGACACACUCACAAAGUAUUAUUAUUUCUAAAACAAAAAUCAUCCUGGUGAGAAAAGAAUGCCAAAUCAUCAUCACCUCUCAUUGAGGAAAAGAAAAAAAUCAGAAAAGAAGAAGAAACAAUAUACAAUAGAGGGUUGGAAGAAACAAUAUACAACAGAGGGCUGGUUCAAGCUUAGAUGAAGCUAAAGUAUUGCAAUGCUUACAUAUAACUUAGAGAAGUCCUUUGAUGCUUUCAAUUCAAUCGUCAAAGAAUCCAAAACACCGAAACAAAAAGCCAAAGUAUGCACUUGUAAACCAAAGUCAGGCCAGUAAGGAAAUCACUUAUACGACCCUCAAAGCCAUAUAUGUCAAAGCACAUUAUCUGAUCUCUUUGAAUUAUGAUAUGGAAAGAUAAAUUUUUAAUAAUGCCACCAUAAAGCAAGAAUCAGAAUUUAUUUCAACAGAAGAGAAAUAAAAUAUUGUUGCUAAUAACCGGAUAGAACAAAAAAAACCUAAUAGCAUCGCUACACAGGCUCAAGAGUAAGAAGGAAUUAAAUGAACUAACCUCCAUAUCUAAGAAUAUCCUUUUGCUGAAAAUAAUCUCAAUUGUUUGCAAUAUAAAUGCAUCACCAAAUACAUAUAUAUGAGAAAAAGAAAAUAAUAUUCCAUAGUUAAUUCAUAUCAUCAAGAAAAACUAGAGGUUUCACAAUACAAUGGAAUGCUUCUGUUAUUUAACAAGGAACAAUAGUAUUAAUUUGCAAAAGGUAGAAUAGAAACAUACUGCACUACUGUUGUUUAACGUUAUAUAGAAAUUAUUCUUUAGUUCUAAUAUCUAAAAUUACAAGCACAAAAGGCAAUAUCAAGGUCUGAUGAACAGUUAGAUUAGACUAAAAAUACCAGUAAAUCCAAUAAGCCCUAAUUAUAAAUCUAAGGAUUUGAAAUCUAACUUUGGAAAAAUAUAUAACACAAAACUAACAACAAAAAACACAAAAUAAACAAACAAUCAUGCAGCAAAACUAGAGCAAAUACAAGAAUUUAAAAAAUAAAAAAAAAGAUGAUAAAUCACAGAAAAGCUAAAAACAAGUAGCAGUGUCAAACUACGUACGCAGGCGAUAAGAAGAAAAGAAAGUUACCUUAAUCCACAAAGUAAACUGAAAGAUAAAGCUAGCAACAAAUCCCCGAGGUAAUUUGAGUGCCUUGCAAUUCCCCUAUAAAGAAAUACUGUAAUUCAACAUGGUUUUACUUAUGUAGCUCGACUUAUCUCAAUUAUUCAACGGUAUUAUUUAGAAUACUGUGGAUGAAUUACAUUAGGAGACAUGCUUUAGUUACAUGAAUACCUUCCAAUGUAAGUCUUUCAAGUUCGUAAAUAUUAGAAACUAAUGCAAUUCAUCAUUAGAUAUAAAGAGCAAUGUCAUCAUUAGAUACUGGAGCUUGGUACGGAAAGGAGACUAUUAGGAAUUAAUCCUCAUAACUAUAAAUGGGUAGAUCCAAAAAUCAAGAAAAAGAAAACCUGAAAGACAGAUGAAGAAACAUAUUGACCGUUGGUAUGUGACAGUGCAGCCAGGGAAUUGAAGAGCGAUUUGAGAUCCUCUAAUUCCUUUGGUGUAAAAGCUCUAAGACAUAUUAAUGUUUUCGAUAGUUUAAUUAUACCAACAAAAUAAAUAAAAGCUGUUCAUUCAAGUAAAAAGAAAGAAAAAAGAAUUCAGACAUUAAAGCAAAGAGAGAGAGUUUGAAGAAAGAACUACCUUGAAGCAGAAUUGAAACGAGGAUUUGGUGGAGGUGACUGGCUGUUUUAAACAAGGAGCAGAAUUAGCUUAUCGACAUUCUCACUUUUUGUUUUAUUUUUUGUUUCUUGUUUACACUCCUUGGAAACUAGAACGUAAUCAGGAAUUGAAUAGUGGACACUCAGAAUCCGCUGUCAUAAUCCAAUUAUCAUUUAUUAUUGUUGUUUUUUUUAUAAUCCCAACAUAAUAAACUAUCAUAUCUACAGUCUAUAUGCCAAUAACUAAUUCCUGAUAUCAGUUGCUGAAAGAAAAACCUUGCCUGACGCAGUAAAGCAAAUAACAGUUAAUGAAAAAUGGAAAAGAAUGAAAUUCAAAAUAAAAAACACUAGUUAAAUUCAAUAUAUAUACCUCAUCCUUACUAAAUCUACCAGCAUUGCAUAUCCUUUCAAAAACUUCUCCUCCAGCUGCAUAUUCCAUGACUAUGGCAAGAUGGGUUGGUGUUAAAACUCAAAUGAAGGUUAUGCAAUAAAAACUCACCUUUGCAGGCAUUCAACAUAAAAUCCAUUUACUAUAAUAAUUGAGUGAUCUGGCAAGAGAAAAGAAGGACUAAAGAUUUCGCUAGACAUUUAAUAAUUGGUUAAAAGCUCAUAUUAGAGCUUGAAUUAAGUUAGUGUCAGAUUGGUUAUCUGAAGAAACCAUCUUCCCCUUAUCCUUAUUAUUAUUCUUCUGCAUUUUCCUCUGGCUGUCAAGAUCCUUUGCCAACUCUUUCAGUCUCAUUUGCUUUAGCUGUUAAUCAAUAAAACAUAGAACAAUAACCCAAAAAUGCAUAAAGUUUAAUCCAAAUACGAAAAGGAACAAUCAUUUUCUCCACCACACAUUAGAAAUUAUAUUUUAACAAGGAAACAAAUAGAGAAUAAAAAAGAAUUAGCAAUUUUCAUUCAAUUCAAUUGCUGGAAGUGUUUUUUUCUUUUUUUUUCAAUCUUAAACUUAAAAGAUGCUAUAUUUUUAAGGACAACAUUUGAAUUCAGUUAACUAAAUACUAUUACUUUACUUUUAUUCUGUCAAUAGCAAAAAAUAGUAGUCAAUAACCAAAUUUCACUGUUGGAGGGUUGUUUGGAUAAUUGGGCGGAAAGCUCAUUAUGGCAUUGAAAAUUUUCAUUAUAGGUUUUCAUCAUAUAUGUUAUUUUAUUCAAUUGGUAAUUUGUAUGAUAUUUUAGAUGGUUUGAAUAAAAUAUUGAAUUUAUAAUAUGGUUUGAGAAAAAGUAAGGUCAGUUCAAAAAAUGAAUUAAGCAAAAGUAGCCGUUUGUGGCGUUUUUCUCAUAAACGCCGCUAAUGUUUGACUUUUUUACAAUUUUUAUAUUGAAUUUUUAUAUCUUUCAUAUCAAUUUUAAAUAAAUAAUUUUUUAAAAUUGAAGUAAUAUUUAAAAGAAUUAGAUAAAAAUUUGUAUUUUUUAUAUAAAUUUUUUAUGUAAGAAAACAAAAAAAAUUUUCAAAAUGUGAAAAAAAUAACAAAAACAAAAAAUUUCAAAAUAUGAAAAAAAAUUGUUAUAAUUUGGUCCUAUCCAAAAUAGAUAGUUACCUAUCCAUAACAAUUUGUUAUUUUUUUAUUUAUUUAUCAAUUUUUUUAAAUCUAAUAUAUUAAUAUAUCAAAUGAUAUAAAUUAAAUAUUUUUAAAUAUAAAAGCAUUAAUUGAUUGUAUAAAAUUUUAUCAUUUAGCAAAUCCUAAACCAUUUAAUAUAUAUAAAGUUUAUCUAUUAUCUCUUAAAUAAUUUAAACUAUAAACAUAAUUUUAAUAUAUUAAAUUUAAUAUUAUCUUUUUUACAAUUAUAUAAGAAAUUAUUUAAUAUAUAAAUUAAAAAACACUAAUUAACCUAAACCCCUAUCCCCUAAACCCUAAAUCAUAAAACAUAAACCCGAAAUCAUUAAACCCUAGCCCUUAACCCUUGACACCUAAACCUUAAACCCUAACUCUUAAACCAUAAUCCAUAAACCUUAAAAUAGUAACUCCUAAACCUUAAACCCUAAACUAAAAUGAUAAUUAAUUCAAUAUUUUAAAAUUAAUAGUAUCUCUUUAACGAUUAUAUAAGAAAUUAUUUAAUAUAUAAAUUAAAAAACAAUAAGUCAUAUACCCAAAAAACUUUAAAAUUAUUUUAAAUAAUAGUAUUUUAAUUUUUUUCAUUUUUAACAAAUAUUUUUCUAUGUUUUUACUUUCAAAUUUUUUUCUACGUGUGAUUAUUCUUUCUGAAGAAUUUAAAUAUUCAAUUAAAAAUAAAUUAUAUUUUAAUUAAUAUAAAUAAACUAGUUAAAUAAUAAAUAGACAGAUAAAAUGUUUUUUACGGCGUUUUUCAAAAAGCCUCGCUAAUGCCACUAAAGCUCAACAUAAAACGAUGGCGUCUUACUGAAUUUUUUGCGGCAUUUUUCAAAAAGCGCCGCUAACGGUCAACUUAUAGUUGCGAUUUUUAGAAAGCACCGCUAAUGCUCGAUCUAUAGCGGAGUUUUUCAAGAAGCGCUGCUAAUGCUCGAUCUAGCGGCAUUUUUCAAAAAGCGUCGCUAAUGCCACUAAAGCUCAACAUAAAACAACGGCGUUGUGCUUAAUUUUUUGUGGCGUUUUUCAAAAAGCGUCGCUAAUGCUCGACCUAUAGCGGCGUUUUUCAAAAAGUACCUCUAAUGCUCGAUCUAUAGCGACAUUUUUCAAAAAGCACCGCUAAUACUUGAUCUAUAACGGCAUUUUUCAAAAAGUGACACUAAUUCUCGAUCUACAGCGACGUUUUUCAAAAGCGUCACUAAUGCCACUAAAGCUCAACAUAAAACGACGGCGUUGUCCCUAAUUUUUUUGUGGCAUUUUUCAAAAAGAGCCCCUAAUGGUCGACCUAUAGCGGCGUUUUUUAGAAAGCGCCACUAAUACUCAAUCUAUAGCGGCGUUUUUCAAAAAGCGUCACUAAUGCUCGAUCUAUAGCGGUGUUUUUCAAAAAGUGCCGCUAAUGCCACUAAUGCUCAACAUAAAACGACGGUGUUGUGCUUAAUUUUUUUGUGGCGCUUUUCCGCUAAUGCUCGAUCUAUAGCGGCAUUUUUCAAAAUGCACCGCUAGUGCCACUAAAACUCAACAUAAAACGACGGUGUUGUGCUUAAUUUUUUAUGGCGUUUUUCAAAAAGCGCCAUUAAUGCUUGACCUAUAGCGGCGUUUUUCAGAAAGUGCCGCUAAUGCUCGAUCUAAAGCUGCAUUUUUCAAAAAGUGCCACUAAUGCUCGAUCUAUAGCAGCGUUUUUCAAAAAGCGCCACCAAUGCCACUAAAGCUCAAAAUAAAACGACGACGUUGUGCUUAAUUUUUUUGUGGCGUUUUUCAAAAAGUGCCCCUAAUAGUCGACCUAUAACAGCGUUUUUCAGAAAGCGCCGCUAGUGCUCGAUCUAUAGCUGCGUUUUUCAAAAAGCGUCGCUAAUGCCACUAAAGCUCAAUAUAAAACGACGACGUUGUGCUUAAUUUUUUUUGUGGCAUUUUUCAAAAAGCACCGCUAAUGGUCGACCUAUAGCGGCGUUUUUCAAAAAAUGCCGCUAGUGCUCAAUCUAUAGCGGCGUUUUUCAAAAAGCGCCGCUAAUGCUCAAUAUAUAGCUGCGUUUUUUCCCCAAACGCCGUUAAAAACCUGUUUACUGUCAGGGCAAUUAACACAAGAGUUGUACCCGGGUAAACUUAAAUUGCAAACUCAACCUCACGAUCAAGAGGCAAUUUUGGAAAUUUUCUUCUAGAAACUCACAUGUUGUCCGUAUCUUGCUUAUUUGGCUUCCAUCUGAUCUGAGUUCGAGUUAAUAAUAUAGACUAAAUAUACUUUGCAGCCUUGAUUCAGAAGCUUAUUAGCUCCAACCGAUGAAAUGAUACGAAUAGAACUACUAGAUCUGAUGUCUUUAACUUCAAUAAUUUCGCCUUACGAAAUUUGGACAAAAAACUUUUUUUUUAUGGAAGUCCAAAAUCACAUCAUGUUCAGUUAACCAGUCCAUUUCCAAAAUUACAUCAAAAUCGCCAGACGACAUGAUCAACAAAUCAAUAAGAAACGAUAUCUUAUGGAUUACUAAUGGGCACCCCCUACGCACUUGGUCAACAAGCACAGUUUGUCUCAAAUGACUUGAAACAACUAUUGCUACUUUCGAUAUCUCAUAUUUCAAUUUCUCUGAUGAAGCUAGAAUUUGUAUAAAAAGAGUAGAGCUAGGGUCAAUUAAAGCAUGCAUAGGUGCAAAAUAUAAAAGAAUAUACUUGUUACAACAUCGGUAACAUCACUCUCUUCUCGAGUUCAGAUCAUGUAAGCUCACACAGUUGUUGAACUGCAAACUCAGUUCCUCUUCUCUGACUACCCCUCGAUACAAAACCACCACGAGGAUUUCCUCUACCUCUAAUUGCAGGAGUGAAACUCUGAGUGGUAACAAGAGGAUCAUUAUCGUUCCUCAAACAAUCUUAAGUAAAGUGUUCUUGAAACCUACAUCAAUUGAAAGAAAUGGAUAACCUAACCUUUUUCUACAAAACUGACUUGAACCAAGCAAAAGUGAUCUAAAAUAUCUUACAGUAGUUAUGUACUUACUCUAGUCAUAAAGUUAAUAAUAAUACUAAUAUUUGUUUUUUUUAACUAAUGUUGAGAGCGUUUUACCAGAUCAAUUUUCUAGAUUCUUGAGCUUUAGGAAAGUUGAUGAUUUAACUAUAUAUUUAAGUGUUCCAUUAUUUCAUAAAAGGGUUAUGAGUUGCACAUAUCAAUUUAUUAUUGACUUUAGCGAAAAAUCGGUGUUAUUUGCUGAUCUUAAUUAUCUUAUGAAAAUGGCACUGAUUCUAAUUGGAAUUCGUAAGGAGAUUGAGAAACUAGUGAGUAUCUUCAUUUGAUUCGCAUACAAAGUGAAAUUUGCCUUUGUUAAUUGGAAUUCUUUGUGUCAACCUAUUAAAUGCGAUGGAUUAGGAUUAAGGCAUUUGGUUGAACAUUACAAGUCUACGAUUUUGAAGAUAGGGUAUAAUGUAGUAACAAAAACUUUAGCUUCAUGGGUUCGGGUUGUUGGAAAAAAAUACAUAUUGACGUUGUCCUAUGAACAUUGAUAAGCCAAAAGUGCUCCUAUAUUUCACAAUUAGUAUCAAAGAUUUGGAAUCAAAUACGGAAUAACUUGUGCUAGUCAAUAGGCAAUGGAAGAUGAGUUCAAUUUUGGCUUGAUAGAUGGAUCUCCAGUCUUAAGCCAUUAAAGAACUAUUGCCAUAAUGUAGAUAAAGAGAAUAUGAGGUUUUGGAUAAUACAAUGGUGACUGAACAUAGAGACUGGAACUAGGAGGUUAUACAACGGGAAUUAGGUCAACCAAUCGUUACAAGGAUUGUAACUAUUUUGGCCUCUUGAAGAACAUAAUGGUGAAGCCCAUGACCAGCCCUGGGAUUGUUUGGAGGUGUGGCCGCCAUUAAAGUGGGUCUAAAAUAUUAUUUUCUAGUUUUCAAGUGGCUUAAAAAGUUAUUUUUUUAACUUUUAAAGGUUAAAAAAAAUUAAACCAACUUUUAAGUGUCCAAAAGUUUUUUUUUACCAACUUUUAAAAGACUUAAAAAAAUUUCUCCAACUUUUAAGGAACCUAAAACCCUAUUUUAUUGUUUUGCUUAGGGCCCCAAAAAUGUCAAGAACGGGACUGGUGAAGCCUCAUGCUUUUGAAGGUAGGGGGAGGAUGGGAAUUACUAUGUUGUUGCUAGUUAUUUAGGAAGCACAGACAUGACUCAUCCUUUCUUGUACCGAUGUCGUACGUGUGUCGGACACGGACAUGUCGAAAUACGUAAAAAAAAGGUCGAACACAGUCACAUGGAUAGAGACCCCGGAUUGAAAACCCACAGUUGAGAGUGAAAGGGGAAGCAGAGUUUUAAAUUUUUUUCCCCCCUGAUAGUUAUGUUUUCGUGAAAGGAAAUGAAAAGUUUUUUGAAGCCUAAAAAUUGAAGGGUUUUCAUGGAAGGAAAUGAAAGGCUUUUUGAAGCCUGAAAGUUUUAGGAUUUUGUUUUUUUCUUAGAUAAAUUUGAAGCAAUCCAAGGUCCUAUCUUGGGCUAUUUGAAAUUAAUUCAAAAUAUUAGGUCGAAUUUAAUUUACGUUUAUUAUUGUAGGCAGCCCAAGGUCCUGUCUUGGGCUAUUUGUAAAUUAAUUUAAAAUACUAGGUUGGAUAUAAAGUUUAGAUUUUUUUCCAAAAAAAAAAAGUAAAAUAAAUUACUAAAAAAGUAAAAAUGUAUUAGUAUGUUUUGUUGUAUUUUAUGUAAUGACAAGAGAGUUUAAUGGAAAAGAAUCCAUUAUAUAUUAAUGAAAAAUAUCAAUAUUUUCAUUUCAUAGAAAUACUUUUUUAUUGUCAUAUCUAAUUAUAUUUGUGUCCUCAUUUUUUAAAAACUAUAAUGUUACCGUGUCUGUAUUGUGUCGUACCUGUAUUGCGUAUCCGUGCCCUCAUAGCUGGUUAUAUGCUCCUAAUGGGAGAAAACUAGGACCCCGUAAAUGCAAUUUGGUGAAAAGUUUGGGAGAUAGAUGCUCCCAAAGAGUUGAACAAUUUUUACGGCUAUUUGCCUGGAGUAGACUCUUGACUAAUGAGGAAAGUAGUCGACGUGGUAUGAUGGAUUAUGCUUCAUGUCAAGUUUGUGGUCAUUGCGUGGAAACUAUAGUUCAUGCCAUUCAAGAGUGUGAUAUGGGUAGAGCUGUGUGGGUAAGGAUUAUACCCAGGGGCGUAGUCAGGGGGUUGGCAUGGCCCCGGCUCUCUCUAAAAUAGAAAAUUUUAAUUUAAGCCCUUAAAAUUUUUUAAAAAAUUUAAAUUAGUAAAGGUAAAAUUGUACUUUGGCCCUUCUUAAAAUUAUAAAAAUUCAAUUUAAUCCUUUACACCUUGCUUUUAAAAUACUAGUUUGUGUGGGAAAUAGUAAAGAUGAUAACCAGUCAGAUGACUUUAUGGCGAAGCUGGGAUUCAGAUUGCAACAAAAGUUCCAGCUAGAG